rnacentral:lncRNA from 1 species
GAGGAGGUGGUGGUGGAGACUUGUACUUGUAAGGGUACUUGGGUGGUGAUGGCGGUGGAGGUGGUGGAGACUUGUACUUGUAAGGGUGCUUGGGUGGGGAUGGAGGUGGUGGUGGGGGAGACUUGUACUUGUAAGGAUGCUUUGGAGGUGAUGGUGGUGGUGGUGGUGGAGACUUGUACUUAUAAGGAUGCUUUGGUGGUGAUGGUGGUGGAGGUGGUGGGGACUUGUACUUGUAAGGGUGCUUGGGUGGUGAUGGUGGUGGAGGUGGUGGAGACUUGUACUUGUAAGGGUGCUUGGGUGGUGAUGGUGGUGGAGGUGGUGGAGACUUAUACUUGUAAACUGGAGAUGGUGGGGGUGGAGACUUGUACUUGUAAGGGUGCUUGGGUGGUGAUGGUGGUGGUGGUGGGGACUUGUACUUGUAAGGAUGCUUGGGUGGUGAUGGUGGUGGAGGUGGAGGAGACUUGUACUUGUAAGGAUGCUUGGGUGGUGAUGGUGGAGGAGGUGGUGGAGACUUAUAGUUGUAAACAGGAGUUGGUGGGGGAGGAGAUUUGUACUUGUAAGGCUUCUUGUGUGGUGGUGGUGGUGGAGAGUAGACCGGAGGAGGCGGUGGUGGAGACUUGUAAUGGUAAGGUGGUGGUGGGUACUUCUUAGGUGGUGGUGGAGGAGAAGAAUAAGUGUAAUCUGCUGAGGUUUCAAAAGGCAAAUUGAGAGACACUGCUAAAACUAAAAGAGUGAGAAAGAGAGAGGUCAUUGAUGACCCCAUUUUCCCCAUCCUUACUUCUAAAAAUGGGUUUAAUUUGGUUAUGCUCUUAGCAGCCCUCUUCACUCCCUUUAUAUAGACUUUGUUUUAAAGUUACAAUCAUGAUAAAAGUGUGAAGGUGGACCGAACCUUCAGCAGCAUUGAAAAAAGACGUUACGUUUAGGUUAUUAGCAUGGUAUGACAUAAUAAUUCUCUAUUCUCUUCCUUGUCGUUUCCCAUAAAUUUAAUUUAAAUAGUCCAUUUGCUAUAUUUAUAUUUCUGUUUCUCUAUUAAAUAUUUAUCAAAUUCAUUUCUCACUCCUUAUAGAAUAUGAAUAAUUAAUCAUUAAACUCGAUUUAGUAAAUACUUUAAAAAAUGAUUUAUCUUAUUUUUAUGCUUUAAUUAAGGCAUCAAAUCAUUAAUCCCAUUUGAUAUUAUGAAAAUUUAUCACUUAAUUGAUCAAAAUGUGAUUCUUGGCAGGAAAACAUAAUUUACUUUCCUUAAAAUGUAAUUUUUAUUGAGAGUUAUUUUUCCACUAACAAUAGAAAGUGAUUCUCUUUAUAAUUCGUGAAAAAAUUACUUUCACAUGUAAAUAAAAAUUGUUAGGAUAAAAUUAACUUUUCUUUUAUUUAUGUUAAGGUUACUAAUUAACUUAUUCAACUUUAAUAAAAGAUAAACAUAGUUGUAGCUUGUUUGUUGAUGUUAGUUUUUUGUCUUUACAACUUCAAACCAUUAUUCUAGUGUAAUUUUUUUUUCUUUCUAAAUAGUAGAUAAGUAUCUAUAUUUUAUUUUGCUAUAAGAAAAUUAUAUUUUUUAGCAUACAAAACUUAAGAUAACUUGUAGAAUCAAGUAGUUGUAUACCUAUUACUCUAGCAAUAAUAAUAUUGACAUUGUCUACUUUCAAAUUAAAAUUUCAAAUUAGUUCAUUGCCCAAUUUUCUCAUUAAAAAAAAUUAUAUAUAACAUGUCAACUUAACGAAACUUACAUGAAAUUUUGUAUGUGUUAAAAAUGAAAAAUAUGGCGGUUAUUAAAAAAGAUGUCAUACAUCUAAAUCAAACUACUAAUUUAAAAAUUAGUAUUGAGAUAAUUUCAAGCCAUAUAUGCAAUAUUUGAGUAUACUUGAACUUAUACAUACAAAUUAGUGAGGAUUAAAAUUUUGUAAAUUGUACAUCUUCACAAUCUUGCGUUAAUAUACAAUUUUUUUAAUGUAUUAAUAUAAUGUUUUAGAUCAAGACGUGAAAAAACAUAAUUCAAAUAUUUGUUAAUAGUAAAAAAUUAUUAAUAAAUAUUUAAUUCAAAAUUUAUUAAUAAUAAAAAUUAUUGAAAAAUAUUAAAUACGUUAAUAUUAUUUUUAUUUAAUAAUGAUACUUUUGUACAGUAAUCUUAUAUUCCCAAAUAAGUGUUAAAUGUGUCAAGAUUUUAAUCAAUACUUUCCGGUGAUUACCAAACGUUGUGAAGUAACUUCUUAAACAAUAAUAUUCUUAUCAAUCACAUUCCAUUAAAAUUUUAACAUAGAAAAGCACCAAAACGCCCCCUUAAAAUCGUGGUAAGUCUUGUUUGUCUAAAAUUUAAAUAUUUAUUUUAUUAUUUAAAAUAUAUUAAUUUUCUAAAAAAAAUCAUUAAUAUUUAUAUUUCUAAUUUUAAACAUUCUUUUGUUAAUUAAAUGAUAGUCUAAACGGUUAAACUCAAAUCGAAAGCAUUUUAUCUUAUAUUAGAUUAUAUGAAUCAUAUUAUGGUUGAAAGUAAAAUGUAUAAAAUCAAUACAAACAUCAAAUAUUAAACUUCCACUCAAUAGAUUUUAAAAUUUCUAAUUUUAUCACUAAUCUAUUUUAAGAUUUUUUUAAAAAAAAUCGUACUUUAGAUUAUCUAAUUUAAAAUUUUAUAAAAUUAUUAAAAAAUAUUCUUGUAAUAAAAAAAAUUUGUUUUAAAAUUUUUAAUUUUUUAUAUAACCAAUGAAUUUUUUACGUUUGUUUUAACUGGUUAUCUAAACAAAAUAAAAACUUAUUUAGUUUAAAUAAAGUGGUAAAUGUGAAAGCACCACAAAUCACAACUACAUUAGUUUUAUAAUUGGAUUAAUUUAAUCACCGGCAGAGGAAAUGUGUUAGUUCUAGCUACCAACAAUUCAUUUUAAUUCCUUUAAAAAUAUUAGAAAAAACCAAUUUGAUUUUUAAUAAUAGAUCUAAUUACUUAAAGGAACAUGGGUGAUGUGCACAUGGCAUACAAGCAUAAAAAAGAACAAAAAGAUUAAGUAUCUUUGCAAAAUAUCUCUCUCUGAAAUAAAUAAAACUUAAAAAAAAACAAUUUUAUUAUCAAAAUAAAAAGAAAAUAGUGUUUUUCUUCACAAAAAAAGAAAAGAAAAGAAAUACUAGUGUUUUUAAUUAAAAUAGAGUGAUCUGGGUAGAAUCUUUUACUUAAAUACUGACAUUGACUUUAUAAGCUAUUUUUUAUCAAAAGAAGAAAGAGAAAAGCAUCCGAUUGAAGAUGUGAAUUAUUAAGUUAAAAUUAAUCAUACAUGUAAAAUAUUAUUGUGCUUUUUUCUAGCCCUCCGAAAGACAUUAUGCUUUGAUUACAACAUUCUUCCUCAGAGAUGAGGUUUGAAGAUGAACUCGGAUGCAUUUAGAUUUUUACAAGACGAAAGUAAAUUAAAGGAUGUUAGUACUUGUAUUCCGAUACGCUUAUAAUACAGAAAGCAAGUAAUAUGUGACUGUACAUAAUGGCUAUGAGGCGAGGAUAUGAUACGAGAAGAUAGAGAUGAGAGAUUGCACUUAAGGGGUUAGCACCUCUUUUCUUUUUGUGUUUGGUCCCCAAAGCAUAUCUCUUAUUGGCUGAUGUUGCAAGGCGGUCCCAUAAGUUGGGCUAAAAGUGCUUGAUAGCUAGAAUUAAUAUUGUGGUAUAACAUAUGUCACCCCUAUAUUUGAAUAAGGUUACAAAGUGACUACUUGAAGAUUUAAAAAAGCAUGGAGAUAAUUUUGUUGCGAAAAUUAAAAGUAAGAGCUAAAUUGUUUGGCUUUAUUAGAGUAUAGACUCUGUUAGUCUAUUAUCAUUUUGUUAUAUAGGCUGGAAUAUUAUUAGUAAGCAGUUAGCAGCAGUUAGUCAUACAAGUAUAAAUUCUAUUCAUGUAUUGUUCAAAGAUAAGCUAAUAAUACCAGAAGAGAUUUAACAUGUUCAUUCUACUUUUUUUUGUUAUUCUUCAUAAUACAGUUGUUAACAUGGUCUCAGUCGCCAAAUUUCUUGGAGGUUGCUUCUAUUGUAGAUCCAUGGCCAAUUCCACUGAUUCUACCUUCGCUGGUCGUAGCAGUCCCUCAUUCUCAGUUCAUGUUUGGUUCAAUCGUUUCCUCGUCAUGGCACUGUGAAGUUAGAUGAAGGAAAUUUUGUACAAUGGCAACAGCAUAUCCAAUUGAUAAUUGAAGGAUAUGAACUCAUAAGAUUUUUAGAAGGGACGUUACCUGCUCCGCCUCGCUUUGUGUCAUCUCCGGAUGGAAACUUAGCUCUGACUCCCGAUGCAUCCCUGUUUGUUCAGCAAGAUAAGUUACUCGCUUAUUGGUUACUUUUUACGAUUAGUGCUCCUUUGUUUUCUUGUUUUACAACUGCUAAGACGGCGUGUGAGGUUUGGAGCACUGCGAAUUGCCUAUUUGCUGCUGCCACUAGAGCCAAGCUUUCGCGUAUUAAGCAUGAACUCCAGUCCAUCACGAAAGGCGUGAUGACUAUCAAAGAGUAUAUUGCUAAGAUUCAAAAUACUUGUGCGUUACUCGAGGAAUCUAGAUCAGUGGUUUUAAAGGCUGAAAAGGUAGAGAUCAUUCUUGCCGGCCUAUUGUCUGAUUAUGAUGUCGUUUUAACUCUGGCAUCGUUCUCAACUGAAACUUUUUCGUUAUAAAAGAUUGUUGAUAUGCUUCUGGAGUUCGAAAGCCAUCAGACUCAAGCGGUGAACGACGUACCUUUUCAUGCUCAUUUGGUAGAGGCCACUUCGGCGACAUCCGUGGAGGACUCCGUACGUGGUGGUCGUCCUCCUUCUGGUGCUCGUAGGCGCGACUUUCGAUCUCAGCUUCAGUGCCAGGACUAUGGUUGCUAUGGACAUUUGGUACAAUGCUGUUAUUAUCAGUUCAACCGCGACUACAGUGAUCUGUCUGUUUUGACCAUGGCGCGGGUUUCGCCUGUUCAUGCUGAUCACAAUUAGCAUAACGAUGUUUUUGGCGCAAGUGGUCUCUCGACUAGCUGGUUUUCAUCAACUUGUCCUGGUCCGGACCCGUUCGUGCCUGGACAGUAUGUCGAUUCUUUGGUGGUGACACCGGCGUAUUUCUCUUAUGGCUCAUCAUGGUGAGGGUGGCCACAUUUGCAAAACAAUGCCUCCCUUGUGCCAAGUUUGUUGAAUGUUAAGGUUUCUAACCCUUUUGCUCAUAAUUUUGACGAUGGGGCAGGCUAGGUGUUUGGGCUCGCUGUUGGACCAAGCUCAAAUUGUGGCCAAUUUGGUGGUCCUCACUUACCGCGGAGAAUGGGCCAGCACGUUAGGCCAUUUGCUAGUGUUCCUAGGCCGACUGGUUCAGGCCAAGAUUUUGGGCCAUAUGGAAUUCGUAGGCUAACCAGUGCUGGUCCUAACAUUGGACAGGGUUCACUUGGGCCAAAUGUUAAUUUUGUUAGACUUGAGGGCUCUUUUGGGCAUGGACAAGGACUUUGGCCCACCACUGGCAAUGUUUCAGUGCCAAAUAAUGGGUCAUGCGUUCCAUGGCGCACUAAACUGACGGCGCACAUUAUUGAUUGAUUUCUCACUGUGUGUUGGGUUGCCUCACAUUCUUGAUUUUCAUGUGUCUGAUAUUUUUACUACCUCUGGGUCCAAUGCUAACACGACUCCGUAUGGGUCUAAUUUUGAUAAUGAUAACUCUUACAUUCCUAUGCCUGUAGGGACCUUGUCCUGGUGUCUUAAUUCAGGGUCUAUACAUCAUGUCUAUCGAGAAGCCUCUACCUUGAACGAGUCUACGCCAUACUCAGGUACAUCUCCUCUCCUCAUGGAUGAUAUUACUCCUACAAAAAUAUCAUGUGUUGGAAACUCUAUCUUGCCUACGAAGACUAAGCUGUUUCAUCUAUCUAAUGUUUUGUGUGUGCCAAAUAUACGGAAGAAUCUGCUAUCUGUCUCUCAAUUUGCUAAUGACAAUAAUAUGGUCUUUGAAUUUCACCCGUCUUAUUGAGGACAUCCAGACUCAGGAAAUUUUGCUUCGGGGCCACACUCGUGAUGGGCUCUAUUAUUUUUCGUAGGUUACUCAUGUUCCGUCUGUCGUUGUUCCUUCUGUUCACAACACUGGGCUCCAGAGUCGCAAUGCCGGUGAUGAUGUUUUUACGUUAUGGCACUACAGACUUGGUCAUCCGUCUGCCUCGAUUGUUAAACUUGUUCUCGAUAAGUGUCAAGUUGUUUCAACUAAAAUGUACCUUGAAAAUAUUUGUAUUGCUUGUCAAAAGGGGAAGUCCCAUAAACUGUCUUUUUCAAGUUCUACUACUAAAUAUACGGAUUUGUUUGAAUUGGUUGUCUUUGACUUAUGUGGACUGGCAUCUGUUGUCUGUAGAAAUAAUCUGUAUCAUGUUUCGUUUAUCGACAUGUGUAGUUAUUUUACUUGGAUUUAUCUCAUUAAACGUAAUUCUAAGGAGGUUGAAUGUUUUCUUCAGUUUCAGAAAAUGGUCAAAACUCAGUUUGGGAAAGAUAUUAAAAAAAUUCAAAGUGAUUGGGGUGGUGAGUUUCUUGCCUUUACGUCAGUUCUGGCUAGUCAUGGGAUACUUCAUCACCUCUCCUGUCCAUAUACAUCCGAGUAGAACGAUGUAGCUGAACGAAAACAUCGACACAUUGUUGAGAUGAGUCUUAUUCUAUUGGCCAAAGCUAACCUAUCCAUGGAUUUCUGUGGUUUCGUAUUUUACAAUGCCAUUCAUCUCAUUAGUCUUCUACCGACCCUAGUUCUGAAAGGUCAGUCUCCAUAUCAGGUUCUUCAUGGUAGUGACCCUACAUAUGAUCAUUUACAAGUAUUUAAGUGUUGUUGAUUUUCGUACCUGCGUCUGUUUCUGCAACACAAGUUGGAUUUUCAUUCUCAGCCAUGCAUAUUUUUUAGGUAUAGUUCUCAACAUAAAGGCUAUCACUGCCUCACACCAAAUGGUAAGGUCAUUGUCUCUCGUCAUGUUGUGUUUGAUGAACGUUGGUUUUUCUUUUCUUCAAAUGCUGUGAACACCGUUCAGUUAAGUCCAUGUAUCUCUACAUAUGUUCCUAUUGUUCGGUCUUCAUCUUGCCGCCCCACGACAUCUUCGCUUGUUCGACCCACUGAGUCAUCGACUCUUGCUCCUAAUUGUAGUUCCACGCUGUCUGUUUCAGUUGACACUCCGGCUGAAUUAGGUUUUACUCAUGAGGUGCAUCGGCUCUCUACCUCAUCCCUUGAAUCUCGUCAAUGCGAUCCAACUACAAUUCCAUUGGCUGUUCCAUCUAUUUCUCUGGAAUACUCAUAACACUAUUACUCAGCUAGACCCAAAGCUCUGUCUGUUGAAAUUGUCAACUGUGAGUCGAUCACGAUUGAAGAGGCGCUCGCUAGUAAGGAAUGGCAAUUAGUUGUCCAAGCUGAGUUUGUUGCUAUAAUGGUUAACUCCACUUGGGAGCUUGUUCCCUUACCUCAUGGUCGAAAAGUGAUUAGGUGUAAGUGGCUUUUUAAAAUAAAAAAAUCCUGAUGGGACUAUCACUUGACGUAAGGCUCGGUUGGAAGCAAAGGGUUGUUCUCAGGUACUCAGGUGUGAUUUCAAGGAAACCUUUAGUUUGGUAGUUAAACCUGCUACUAUUAGAACCAUAUUAUCUGUUGCUAUCUCCAACGGUUGGCAAUUUGGUCAGGUAGAUGUGAACAAUGCUUUUUUAAAUGGUGAUCUUAUUGACGAAGUGUUCAUGCAGCAACCUCUAGGCUAUGUUCAGAUUGGUCAAAAUGGUGAGCCCUUGGUGUAUCAUUUGACAAAGGUGUUGUACAGAUUAAGACAAGCUCCACGUGCUUGGUUUGAUAAAUUGAAACGUUUUUUUGUUUCUAUUGGAUUUGCUUUAUCCAAAUCUGAUGUAUCCUUAUUUGUUCAAGUUAAUUCGAAUCCACUAUUUAUGUUUUAGUCUAUAUGGAUGAUAUUAUCGUUACUAGAAGUACGAUCGACGGUAUAAAUGGCUGUAUUCAAUAGUUACAUAAUGUGUUUCCCUUAAAGAUAUGGGAGAUCUUUACUACUUCUUAGGCAUUGAAGUCACUCGGUAGUCCACUGGGAGUCUCCAUUUGUGCCAACGCAAAUACAUUCGGGAUCUUCUUGACAGUAGUUUUUUAGCUAAUGCAAAGAGUGUUCACACACCGAUGGUUAGUUCUUUUACGUUGUUUAAAGAUGUGGGAGAUCGCCUCGUUGAUCCUACUGGAUAUAGAAGUCUUGUCGGUGUAUUACAAUAUGUGGUCUUGACUCUGCCUGAUAUUGCUUAUGCUAUAAAUCAUGUUUGUCAAUUCAUGCAUGCCCCUACUACAGUACAUUUGGUGGCUUUGAAAAGAAUCUUGCACUAUUUAUGUGACACUAUUAAUCAUGGGUUAAUUUUGUCUGUUCAACAUAUUGUCUUUAGUUGGCUAUGCUAAUGCCAACUGGGGACUGGAUUUUGAUGAUCGUAAAUCAACAACAAGCUAUUGUUUGUAUUUUGGGUAUACACCCAUCUCUUGGUGAUCUAAGAGACAACUCUACUGCGUGAGGCGAAGUAUUUUGGCCGCACCAUGGCUGAGGUGAAGUAUCGAAGUCUAGCAACAACUACCAGUGAUGUUACUUGGUUAGUCUCUCUACUAACAAAAUUACAGAUUCAUUCUAUAGAUCCACAUACUAUUUGGCGUGACAACUCUAAUGCAGUAGCGGUCAUUGCUAAUCCGGUCUGACACUCUAAAUUUAAACAUGCCAAGCUUGAUCUAUUUUUUGUUCGCGAAAAGGUCGCUAAUGGUUCUCUCGUUGUCGGUGAGAUUCUAGCAUGUGAUUAAGUUGCUGACAUUCUCACAAAACCACUGUUCGUCUCUACUUUUGCUAGGUUUCGUAGUCUGCUUCAAUUCUUACCUCUUGAGAAGCUGGGUGAAGCCAGGUGAAUAUUAGAGUAUAGACUCUGUUAGUCUGUUACCAUUUUGUUAUUCAGGCUGGAAUAUUGUUAGUAAGCAGUUAGUCAUAGCAGUUAGUCAUACAAUUAUAAAUUCUAUUCAUGUAUUGUUCAAAGGUAAGCUAAUAAUACCAAAAGAGAUUUAAUGUGCUCAUUCUACUUUCUUUGUUAUUCUUCAUAAUACAGUUGUUAACAUGCUUGAUAUCAUCUCUUAGAGAGAACGAGGAGAGAUAAGAGUAAGAGUAUGAGCCAACUAGGGAUAAGGCUCUACCAUAAUACCUUGGAUGCAAUUAAAGUAAGAGUAAGAGCCAACUUGUUUGGCUUGAUAGCAUCCCCUUAUAGAAAAGGCUCUACCGCAUGGCAUGAGAGCAAUAAAAGUAACACUCAAUUUCUUGGGUUGAUAGCAUCUCCUUAGGGAAAAGGGUUUACCAUGUGACAUGAAAGCAAUUAAAGUAAGAGUAAGAUCCAACUUGUUUGUCUUAAUAGCAUCAUUUAAGAGAAAUAUCCCAAUCAAUUUAUUCAAAUAUGUUAAUCAAAUAAUGCAAGUUACAAUGUUCUGUCAGUUUUUCCUUUAAUUGUAACUGGGUUAAAGUUGGUAGUUGUAACUGCUACUAAUAGAAUGGAUACGGUAGAAAUGGUUGCAAGCAACAUAAGCAAAGAUGACUUUAAUGUCUUUGUAUUGACCACGUGAGAACUAUAGAAUGCAGAGAAUAGUAUGGUGAUUGGCAACAGAAUGCUACUAACCUUGAGGAUAGUAGACAGGGAUGGAUCCACGGGGGUUGGGGGCGGUCCCCCCUUGGAAUUUUUAAAAUUUUAAAUUUUAUAUAUAAAUUAUCAUGUAUUUUAAAUUUGGUGUCCACAUUGUAUAGCAUUCACCCCCCUUUUCCAAAUUGCAUUUCAUAUCAUUUGCCCUCUUAAGCCAUAAGGUUAUACUUUAUAUUAACAAAGUAUUUUCCAUUUUUUAAUUAUAUAAAUUUAAUAAUAAUAAUAAUAAUCAAAUAUUAAUAUAUGAUUGGCAUUGAAAGACUAAACAUAAAGGUCCAGUUGAGACUUUAAAGCCAAAUUCCAUAAUUAAUUAAUUGAUUUGGCCCAUACCAGUACAUAUUAGGUUAGCGAAAUUCUUGUAUUUUGAUUUGUAUGUCUUGCUAAGGAAUUAUCUUCCUUUGGUAAGGUGUUGACACUGCCAAGAGAAAAAGAAAGGAUUUUGAUGUCGAGAUUGUGAGCAUAGAGUAAAAAAAAUACAAAUUAUCUUCCUCUUAGCUCCUUAUGGAAAAAACCUCUCGGUAAAUAUUUUUGCAUAAAUUAUGUUUUUUAUUAAUUUGACUUAGUUUUUUUCUUUUUUCCUAAUACAUUGUUGUUUAAUAUAUUCUUACAAUCAUCAGGUUUUUUGACUAAAUUAUGGUCAAUAAAAACAUCGAAUCUAUUUAAAAAAAAAGAGUGUCAGAAAGCAAUAAUGAUCAACCGGUUCCUCAACCUUCCAUUAUUAGUGAAGAAAAAUCAAAUAUCGGAUCUUCCAAAGCUCUUGAACAAAAUAUCAGGUCUUCUUAAGCCCAAGCUCCUAAAUGCGGUAUGGAGUCUUCCCCAACUCCUGAACGAGAUUGUAACAAUCCAUACCCAAUUCGAUCACCAAAUCCAAGUAGAGAGCGCCGCAACUUAAACCAUAUGAAUUGAAUAAUAAAUAUUUGAAAUUUAUUAAAGUAUCGAGUUCUUGGUGUAACCCUCAGUAUAACAAUACGAAACAAUUAAAUCAAUGAUACGCCAGGAAAAAAUGUUUUUAGGCAAAACACAUGGCGGAAGCCUUACAAAAUUUUAUAAGUUUAUAUAAAAUGUAAGAUGAGUUAAUCCCAUACAACAGUUUCAAGUGCAUCGUUGGCGGUUAAAAGAACAUUCAAAAACUAUUCGGCGUAUAUGCCAAUGAGACAAUCACGUGGAACAAGAUAUAGUAGCUUAAACACAUACAUCACUUACCACGUCAUCAUAACAUAUACUAACCAUAUAAACAAACUUAUCGAGCUGCGAACUAACAAGUUCACCCAAACAUCUAGGGUUAGCGAUAACUUAUUAGAAGAGCCCGCCAAACCCUAGAGUUCGCCAAAACCUGGAGUUCACCAAAUGGCGACUCCCAUAGAAUACGCCAAACACACAACCAAAAAUAAAUACUCUACUAAUUUACUCAUUUUAUAUUCUUAGCAUAAACAACUAUGCACCAAACAGUAACUUGAUACAUUAUCUUUCGGGCGAGUUGUUACAAUUCUCCCCCAUUUAGAAACUUUUGUCCUUGAAAUUCUUACCGGUGAAUAACUGAGGAUAUUGUUCUUUCAUCGAACUCUCUCUUUCCCAAAUGGCUUCUUUUGUAUUGUGAUUUAUCUAUAAUACAUUAACCAAAGGAAUUCUUUUACUUCUCAACUCUUUUACUUCCCUUGCUAAAAUACAAACAGGUUCUUCUUCAUAGGACAAGUUUUGCUCCACUUCCAGUGCUUUGACUUGUACCACAUAAUCUGGAUUGGAUUGAUAUUUUCUUAACAUAGAUAUAUUAAACACAUUAUGUAUAUUUGAUAACUCUGGUGGCAACACCAGUUUGUAUGCCACUGGACCAACUUAUUCCAAAAUCUCAUAUGGUUCUAUGAAAUGCAGACUUAAUUUCCCUUUUUGUUCAAACCUUAUGAUCUUCUUCCAAAGAGAAAACUUCAUAAAUGCAUUGUCACCCACUUCGAAAGAGAUUAUUUUCCUUUUUAGAUCAGCAUAAGCUUUCUGGCGAUCUUAAGUUACUUUCAGAUGAUUUCUAAUGAUAAAGACUUUCUCUUCUGUUUCUCAUACUAAAUCAAGACCAACUAUUUUCCUUUUACUGAGUCUCAUCCAAUAGGUAGGAGAUCUGCACCUUCGUCUAUACAAAGCUCCAAAUGGUAACAUUCCCAGACUGUCAUAAUAACUAUUAUUAUACGCAAACUCUAGCAAAGGAAGAUAUCUUUCUCAAUUCAUUCUAAAAUCUAUAAUACAACCUCUAAACAUGUCUUCUAGAACUUGAAAUACUCUUUCAAAUUGCUCAUCGAAUUAGGGAUGAAAGGUAGUACAGAAUCAUUAUUUCGUUCCCAACGAUUCUUGCAGUUGUCUCCAAAAUCUCAAUGUAAACAUUGGGUCUCGAUCUGAAACUAUGGAUGUUGGAAUCCCAUGAGGCGUACAACUUCAGAAACGUAGAGAUUAGCCAACUUUUCCAAUAAGUAAUUUGUGCGGACAAACAAGAUAUGGGCUAACUUAGUAAGUCGAUCUACAAUUACCUAGACUGAGUACUUCUUCGAAAGGAUGAGAGGGAGAGCCAAAACAAAAUCCAUGGUGAUCUUAUCCCACUUCCACAUAGAUAUCUCUAAAAGGUACAACUUGCCUAAGGGAACCUGAUGUUCUAUUUUAAUCUGCUGACAUGUCAAACAAAUGGAAAUGUACUUUGUUAUUUCUUUCUUCAUUUCAAGUCAGUAAUACAAACUUAUCAAAUUAUGAUACAUUUUAUGUAAAACUCUCAACCCAACUCGAAAUGUCGAGUCUGGAUCUCGGGUAUUACUAUACAUAAUACUUGGCAAAAUAUCAAAAUAGUUGACAAAUACUCUUUAUAGAAAACAUUUUCUUAUUAUUUUAACCAAAAGACUAAAUAUUUAAUAACAAGAGAAAAUAUUAAAAACAAAAAAAAAUUAUUACAUCAGACUUGGUACAACUCAUUAUAGUAUAAAAUUUUGUUAAAGACAUACUCUUGGGGCAUAACCCUAAUCUAAGCCACUUUUCCACUAUAUGCAUAAUAACCCACUUCGCCACUAUCUUGGCGUACUCCUAGCAUCGUCACUCCUAAUGCAUUCUCUACCCAUACACCUGAAAACAACAACAUUUUAAGCUUAAGAUAACUUAGUGACUUUUAUCCCAAAAAUACCUUGGCGAGUACUUUAUAUUAUUUGAAGAACAUUUGUGCGCCAUCUAUCCUUCUGAACCACCUUCUUCUGAAUUAAGUGGAUACUAUUAUAGAUUCAACUUUCACUUACACGCCAACUAUCAUACUCUUAACAAACUCACUUAUUCUAGAAUAGUUGUUCACAUAUAUUAAUCACUAAUUGAUACAUUCAUAUUUGGCGAAUACUUACGCAGAUCUGAAUACCAUCAAACUACUAAUCAAAUCAUACCUUGAUCCGAUACCAUACAAACUCAUACUGAUAAUGUACUACACAAAUUAUUCAAAUGAAUUUUCCACUACUUUGUUACAGGACCCCAGAUAAUCAUCAUAACAAUAACUCAAUUUUCAUAUGAUUUCAGAAGAAGAUAUAAUACAACCCAAAUACGGCAAAUUCCAGAUAACUCAGAUUCAACAACUGCUUAACACAUACGAACUCACAUUUAUAAUUUCUUAUGUCCCACAUAACUACGACUAUGUCUAUAUUCAACACUAACAAAUAAUCAUGACGGAUACCCUUCUUAUACAUAUAUGCAUUUCUUUUCUAGAAAUCUCUUAAGACUUACUCAAUUAUAUCACAUAUCUUAUUCAACCCUUAACUUUAGACAUAUCAUAACCCUAUCAUAUCAAUAUCUAUCACAAAAAAAAUCAGGAUUUAUCCAAAACUUACCAUAAAGGUAGAUAAUCAUAUUAUAUCAGACAAACUUAACUAAAUGUGCCACAAAGGCCAAACAAAAUAUGCCUUAAAGGCUUCAUACAAAAUCACGUGUUUACUAUCCCGACGGACUAUCACAAAAGGUGUCAUGGGUUUCUCCCACAUGGACUUAUACAUAAUUUCAUGUAUUGUGAUCUGCCAUUUUGAAUCAUACGUUAUCGAAGGAUACUCCAUAAGCAUACAUACAGACAUAUCUUGCCAUGUGUCUCAGCCACAUGGCUUAAACACACAUUCAUGUACUGUGAUAUGUCAAUCCAGUCUUACUCUUAUUAGAGCCUACACCAUGAGUGUUUUCAAAUCAUAUUAAGAUGUUGUAGGUCUCAACCUCAUAGUCUUACACUUGUUUUCAUAUCGUGACCUGCCAGUCUAGUUAGCAAUAUAAUUGCCUACCAGAGGCUUCAUAGAGGAACAUUUGCUUAGAUUCACUUACCUAGAUGAUCUGUAACACCCCUUACCCGAGACCGUUGUCAGAGUCGAGCACGAGGUAUUACUUAUCUUAUCUUACUAACUCGAAGCAUAAAAACUUGUUUUAAAAAUUAAUUUCACUAUUUAUAGCAAUUUGUCCAAUCGCGCAGCAGUUACUAAAUUAAUUAUAACUCGAGAUACGGAACUUGAAAUUUAACUCCGUAAAUUUUCCCUGAAACUAGACUCAUAUAUCUUCCUACCAUAAAAAUUUUAGGAUUUUUAGUUUAUCAAAUUAGUACAGUUUAUUAGUUAAAUUCUCCCCUGUUUCACAAAUCGACUGCCCUGACCUCUUAUCACUAAAAAUAAAAUGUAUCAUUGUGGGAUUUUCGUAUAGUGCUACCGCUUGCUUCUACAGAAAAUAGACUCAAUAAGGAAUCUAUACAUAUAAACUACAACUCAUAAAUAUUUUUUUAAAAUUUUUAAUGAUUUUAUAAACUCAAAACAGGGGUCACCAAAAACUGUUCUAACCCUGUCUCACCAAAAUUCACAUAUCUUAAAAUAUAAAUUCCUUUUGCUACACCGUUAUUUUUAUGUGAAAAUAGACUCAACAAGAUUUAUGUCAUUCAAUAUUUAAUUCAUUUUAUACUAUCCUAGGUGAUUUUUCAAAGUCACGUCACUGUUGCUGCCUGAAUUCUGUUUCUUUGCAAAAUUUUACCCUUUUAUGAUUUCCAUGCAUAGUUUAUCACUUAGACUCUUAUAACAACAAACACUUCCAUACUUAACCAUUUUAGCAACCAUUCAUCAUCAAAUACUUACACAUCAUUCUUUAGCAAGAUCAUAAAUACAAACAUUUAAAAUAACUAAAUCCCUUUACAUUCCAUACUCAACAUGGUUCAACAUAAAAAUACCGAGUUGCUGUGGUUGAUAGUGUGGACGAUCUCCGACUUCUUUAGGAUCCUUGAAGUAACCUUGCAAUACUAUAAGAGAAAGAGAAAUAAAAGACGUAAGCAUAAAGCUUAGUAAGUUUACUAGCAAAUAAAUAACAAUAUUUAACUAGAUAAUUAAACUCAAGUGUCUAUAUCUCUAGUUUACUAUUUAGUUAAUCUCAUUCUAGUUCUCUUGCUUGUUUACUUAGUAUACUUGUGUGCAUAACUUACUCCUCUCUUGCUGUAUAGUUGAAUAUCAAUUGAUAAUAUAAUAAGUUAUUAACUCUUAUAACUUACCUGAACUUGCCAUUUAUGUUUUUAACUGAACUUUCCUGAACAUGAUUCGUUAUUUAGCCCGUUGAGCUACAUUGGAACAAUAAGGAUACUCGGGUCUCUUCUGAUAAUAACAUGCCAAAGCCAUGUCCCAGACAUGGUCUUACAUGGGAUGUACUCAUGUCGGUGCCCAUUCCAUAUCCCAGACAUGGUCUUACGGGGGACCUCUCAUCUCGGUGCCAAUGCCAUGUCCCAGACAUGGUCUUACAUGGGACCUCUCAUCUCGGUGCCAACGCCAUGUCCCAGACAUGGUCUUACAUGGGACCUCUCAUCUCGGUGCCAACGCCAUGUCCCAGACAUGGUCUUACAUGGGACCUCUUUACCCAAAUGUCAUGACAUUCGUAUCCAGUACCAUCCUUACUAUUCAUGACAACCGAUAUAUAUAUAUACAUACUCACUAUUCACAAGGACUCGAACGAUUAUAUACUCAUCAACCACCUUAAAACAAUGUUCAUAAACUUAUCCAUUUCAUAUAAACAAAAGCAUAUAUAUUUAUAACCAAUGCAUAGAAUCACUUAAUUUAAACAGAUUCACUGGCACUUCACCUGAUAGGCUUAUAGUUUAAUUCAGUUCACCGGCACUUAGCCUACUAGGCUUGUAGCCUGAUUCAGUUCACCGGCACUUAGCCUGCUAGACGUAUAGUCCGAUUCAAUUCACCGGCAUUUAGCCUGCUAGACGUAUAGUCUGAUUCAAUUUACCGGCACUUAGCCUGCUAGACGUAUAGUCUGAAUAAUUUUACUGGUAAUAAAUCCGAUAGUAAUUUCUCCGUUGAAAUUGAAUUAUAUUCAAUUCUGCGUAACAAACAUGCACUUAAAACAUACUUGCAUAAUUCACAACAAUAAUUUCAGUCCAAAGAGCUGUAAUUCAUAUUCGAACUAUAUAUAUAUAAAUCCAUACAUAAAAAUUCAACUCAAAAUUUAUAACCUAUAUCUUUGAACCACAUAGGUACAUGAAAUUCAAACACCAAAAUCCAGCUCAAUAACUUCAUGAUUCAACCUAACAAAUUUAUGUAUAUAACUUUUUAUCUAAUUUCAAUACAAUAACUUAUACAUGUACGUAUAUACAUAUUCGAAUCUAACAUAUACAUAUAUAAUUUCAUACUUAAAUAUAUUCAAGACUUAUUCAUGAGUAUACAUAUAUAUUACAACUCACAUGUACAUAUAUAUACACAUUCAUACCUUUAACCAAGUCCAAGGCUUUAUACAUGUAUAUGCUUAUAUAUAUAUAUUCGGACCUUAUGUUUACAUAUAUAUAUUAUAUAAAUACCUUUGAUUAAAAACAAGUAUUUAUACAUAUAUAUAUUUUCGAACAUGAUACAUAUAUAUUUAUAUCAUUCAUACUUAAACAAAAUUCAAUCCAUAUACUUUCAAUUUCAGCUCACCAAAUUACUAUAGAUAUACAUGCAUAUAUACUGAUUUAAUAACCUCAAAUUGCUAAUAGACUUACCUCGGAUAUCAGCGGACACGAUCGAGUAUUCGAUUACUUUCGUUUUUCCCCGAUCCAAAUUCGUUUUCUUCGUUUUUUAUCUUAAUUAGACCUAGAGAUAGCCGAACCUUGUUGUUCUCUUUUCUUUUCUUUUCUUUUUCUUUUCUAUAUUCGGCCAAGAUGAAGAACAUGGCAUUUAAAAUUUGUUAUAUUAAACAUAUAUUAGCCUUAUUUUUAAUUUACUAUAUUAACCUUUACAUAUAUAUAACAUAUAUAAUAAGGUUACAUUAGUCCUUUGCCACCCACUAACUUACAUAGUGGACUAAUUGCAUAGUAAAACCUCUAAAUUAUAAAGACAACAAGAAUUAGGUCCUUUUAUAAUUAACCCCUAAAUUUUCAUUUUACGCGAUUAAGCCCUUUUAUUAAAUCGGACACUUAAACGACGAAAUUAAAACACGAAAAUUUCACACAAUCAAAUGCAUACAAAACAAUAUUAAUAAUAUUUUUCUAAUUCAAAUUUGUGGUCCCGAAACCAGUAUUCUGAUUAGGGUCAAAAACCGGGUUGUUACAACUCUCCCCCCUUAGGGAUUUUCGUCCCCGAAAAUCUUACCGGUGAAUAGGUUUGGAUAACGCUCUUUCAUUGUAUCUUCUAACUCCCAAGUUGCUUCUUCAACCCCAUGUUUAUGCCACAACACUUUAACUAACGGAAUUUUCUUAUUUCGUAAUUCUUUGAUCUCACGAGCCAGAAUGCUAAUCGGUUCUUCCUCAUAUGUCAUAUCAGAGUUAAUUUCAAUCUCCGUCGGACUAAUCACAUGUGAAGGAUCAGAUCGGUAUCUACGAAGCAUCGAAACAUGGAAUACGUUAUGAAUCUUUUCUAACUCAGGCAGUAACAUCAAUCUAUAAGCAACCAAUCCAACUCGCUCUAUAAUCUCAUACGGUCCAAUGAAUCUCGGACACAAUUUGCCUUUACGACCAAAUCUGAGUAUUUUCUUCCACGGUGAGACUUUUAAAAACACUUUAUCCCCGAUCUGAAAUUCUAUAUCCUUUCUUUUCAAAUUCGCAUAAGAUUUCUGACGAUCCGAUGCUGAUUUCAGACUGUCCCGAAUCACUUUCACUUUCUGUUCGGUCUCUUUAAUCAAAUCAACCCCGUGUAUCUUAUUUUCACUGAGCUCGGUCCAAUACAGUGGUGUACGACAUUUACAACCGUACAAAGCCUCAUAAGGUGCCAUUUUGAUACUAGAUUGAAAGCUAUUAUUAUAAGCAAAUUCAAUCAAAGGUAAGUAUCGUUCCCACGUACCUUCAAACUCGAGAAUGCAACAUCUCAACAUAUCCUCAAGUAUCUGAAUGAUUCAUUCAGAUUGACCAUCUGUCUGCGGAUCGAAAGCUGUGCUAAAAUGUAGUUUCGUACCUAAAGCAUCUUGUAGUUUCUUCCAAAAUCGCGAUGUGAAUCUCAGAUCUCUGUCUGAAACAAUAGAAAUAGGUACACCAUGCAACCUCACAAUUUGUGAAAUAUACAAUUCCGCAAGUUUAUCGAGCGAAAAAUCUGUACGAAUCGAAAUAAAAUGUGUCGAUUUUGUCAACCUAUCAACAAUAACCCAGAUUGCAUCUAUCUUGCUCGGUGUCAACGGUAAAUCGGAUACAAAAUCCAUCGUGACUCGAUCCCAUUUCCAUUGAGGUAUCAUGAUCGGCUGAAGCAACCCAGAUGGUACCUGAUGCUUGGCUUUAACUUGCUGACAAAUUAAACAUUUCGAAACAAAGUCAGAAAUGUCUCGUUUCAUACCUUGCCACCAAUAGUGCUGUUUCAGAUCGUUAUACAUUUUCGUGCUACCCGGAUGAACAGAAAAUCGACUACUAUGAGCUUCCUUCAAAAUCAUCUAAAUUAACUCUGAUUUUUUCGGAACACAUAAUCGGUUUCUAAAUCUCAAACAAUCCUCAGCAUCAACUAAAAACUCCGAAUCAAUAUUUAAGUCACAUUGAGCUCGUUUUGCAGUUAAAUCAUUAUCGACCUUUUGAGCUUCACAAAUCUGUUGUACAAAUAACGGUUUUGCUUUCAACUCAGCUACUAUCGCACCAUCAUCAGACAUAACCAUAUGUGCGUUCAUUGCACGCAAAGCAAACAGUGAUUUUCGACUUAGGGCAUCAGCAACAACAUUAGCCUUUCCCGGAUGAUAGUCAAUCACAAGCUCGUAUUCUUUCAGCAAUUCUAACCAUCGACGCUGUCUCAAAUUCAGAUAUUUCUGAGUCAUCAAAUAUUUCAGGCUUUUGGGAUCGGAAUAAACAUGACAUCUUUCACCAAACAGAUAGUGACGCCAUAUUUUUAACGCAAAUACAAUAGCGGCCAAUUCCAGAUCAUGUGUCGGAUAGUUUUUUUCAUGCGGCUUUAACUGUCUCAAGGCAUAGGCUACAACUUUGCCUUCCUACAUCAAAACACAACCCAAACCAUUUAAAGAUGCAUCACUAUAGAUAACAAACUCUUUACCCGAUUCGGGUUGAACUAAGACUGGAGCUUCGGUCAAAAGAACUUUCAACUGAUCAAAGUUUUUCUGACACUUUUCUGACCACUCGAACUUAACGUCUUUUUGUAGUAGCUUUGUCAUCGGGGUCGCAAUCAUAGAAAACCCUUUCACGAACCGUCUAUAAUAACCAGCGAGCCCCAGAAAGCUUCGAACAUCAGAGACAUUUCUCGGAGGUUUCCAAUCAAGUAUAGCUGAAAUUUUACCUGGAUCAACUCGAAUACCCGAUGCUGACACAACAUGGCCCAGAAAACUAACUUCACGUAACCAGAACUCGCAUUUACUGAACUUUGCAUACAACUGUUUAUCUCGCAAAGUUUGUAACACAAGUCUCAGAUGUUCAGUAUGCUCGGUUUCAUCACGAGAGUAGAUCAAAAUAUCAUCUAUAAAUACUACCACAAAUCGAUCCAGAUACUGUCUAAAAAUCUGAUUCAUCAAAUCCAUGAAAACAGCAGGUGCAUUAGUAAGUCCAAAAGGCAUAACCAAGAACUCAUAAUGUCCGUACCUCGUUCGGAAAGCUGUCUUUGGCACAUCAGAGUCUUUAACUCGCAACUGAUAGUAGCCUGAUCUCAGAUCUAUCUUCGAAAACACAGUAGCCCCUUUCAACUGAUCGAACAAAUCAUCAAUCCGUGGUAACGGAUACUUAUUCUUUAUAGUCACCUUAUUGAGUUGCCGGUAAUCAAUGCACAUUCUCAUUGUUCUGUCUUUCUUUUUCACAAAUAGAACUGGUGCACCCCAAGGAGAGAAACUCGGUCGUGUAAAACCUUUAUCAGUCAACUCUUGCAACUGUACUUUCAAUUCUUUUAAUUCGGUCGGUACCAUACGGUACGGAGCUAUCGAAAUUGGAGUUGUCCCUGGUACUAACUCAAUACCAAACUCUACCUCUCGAAUAGGUGGCAAACCCGGUAAUUCUUCGGGAAACACGUCUGAAUACUUACACACUACUGGCACAGAUUCAAUCUUCUUUUCGGUCACUUUACUAUCAAGAAAAAAUGCAAGGUAAUCUUCACAACCUUUUCUCACAUACUUCUGAGCCGACAUCGAGGAUAUUAUUGCUGGUAAACCAUUCAGAUCAUUAGAUUCAAUCCGAAUAAUCUCAUCAUUCUGACACCGUAGAUCAAUAGUUUUCCGUUUGCAGUUUACUAUAGCAUUAUGCAGAGUUAACCAAUCCAUACCCAGAAUUAUAUCAAACUCGUCAAAUGGUAGCAACAUCAAAUCAGCCAGAAAACAUAAAUCUCGAAUCAUCAACGGACAAUUCUUGCACACUUUGUCAACCAAAACACACCGGCCCAAGAGGUUCAAUACUUUAAUUACAAACUCAGUAGACUCAACAGGCAAAGUCUUACUGAAUACUAAAGUCUCACACACAUAAGAAUGAGUCGAACCAAGAUCAAUCAAUGCAAUAACAUUAGUAUCAUAAAGAGUGAAAGUACCAGUAAUAACAUCUGGAGAAGAAGCCUCCUCCCGAGCACGGAUGGCAUAUGCUCUGGCAAGUGCACGAGCCUCAGAUCGAACUGCCAUGUCCUUUGUUCCUCUCUGACUGCCACUUACAUUACUCAAUUGCCUCGGCGGUCUACCUCGUACAGGUACUUUACUCGGUCUGGUAUUCUACACAGUGUUUUGCUCAGCUACCAUCGGACACUCUCGAAUGAAAUGAUCCUUUGAACCGCACUUAAAGCAAGACCGAUCAUGUAAUCUGCAAUCUCCAGGAUGCCAUUUCCCACAAUGCUUGUACUCUGAUCUAUUUUGUCGAACACUACCAACGCUAGCAACUGAAGUAGCUCGUGAACUCACAGGGGGUCGAUCUCGAUCAUACUUAGGAAACCCUGCAGUAGCUUUAGAUCGGCUAUGAUCCUCUCUGGAUUUCAUUGAGGUCGACUGGAAUGAUUUACUGAAUGAUCUUUUACGAGAAUCUCGAGCUUCAUAGCCAGCUUUCCUCUUCUCUUUACUGAGCUCCUUAACUUUACAAGGUCGUUCAACAAGUACUACGAACUCUUUUAUCUCAAGUAUACCAAAUAACAGUUUAAUAUCUUCAUCCAGCCCAUCUUCAAAUCUUUUACACAUGAUAGCUUCAGUCGAAAUACAUUCUCGAGCAUAUCUACUGAGUCUCACAAAUUUCCGCUCAUAUUCUAUCACUGUCAUACGACCCUGUUUCAAUUCAAGAAAUUCCUUAUGCUUCUGAUCAAUGAAUCUUUGGCUGAUGUAUUUCUUACAGAACUCAAUCUGAAAGAAUUCCCAGGUCACUCGCUCUUUCGGAACCACCGAUACUAGUGUAUUCCACCAGUGAUAUGCAGUGUCCCGUAGCAAAGAUAUGGCACAUUUCAAGUACUCAUCAGGGGUGCAAGAUAACUCAUCAAACACUCGAAUAGUAUUAUCAAGCCAGAAUUCAGCUUGCUCAGCAUCAUCAUCAUCAGUAGCUCUGAACUCUUCGACCCCGUGUUUUCAAAUUUAGUCAACAGGAGGCUUAAGUAAUCUCAUCGGAUCACUUACUUGAGGUAUAAUAGGAAUCGAAGGUGGAUUAGUCGGGGGUGGAGUUUGUUGUGCAACCGGAUUAGUUCGGACAUAUUGAGUAAACCAGUCAUUCAUCAUUUGGUAGAAGGCUUGUUUAGCCUCUCCCUCCUGGUUACUCGAGGUCGGUCGAGAAUCUACCAGCUCUGUCCCUUGUGUGGGAGCAGGCGCUAUACUCUCAACAUCAUCGACUACGGCUGGAUCGGGAUCCAUUACUAUACGAAAACACAUUUUUAGACAUCAGCAGUCAUCGCACUAUCUUGGUAUAAAAAUAUGGCAUGUAUAGCUAGACUCAUACAUGCUACAUUAGUCCAAGAAUCGAUUAAACCGUAGCUCUGAUACCAAUAAAAUGUAACACCCCUAACCCGUAUCCGUCGCCGAAUUAGGGUUACGAGGCAUUACUGAACAAAUACAACCAUUUUUAAAACCAACUGAUCACAAACAUGAAAAUUAAAUCAUUUUCACAUAGCUAUUUAUAAUUUACAAUCAACAUCUAACCAACAUCGUACUCAAACCUAUACAUGCCAUAAGAUCAAGUUCAAAUAUUUAACAAAAUACCAAAAGGGGUCGAAAGUGUGAUAGACUAUGCUGAUGAUCCCCGAGCUCGUAACGCAUCUCCAAAAUCUAUAAAAACAAAUGGACAAAAACAAUCAAAGUAAGCUUUUAUAGCUUAGUAAGUCUAUAGCAUAUCUAAAAUACAUAUAAAAGAAUCAUAUAAUUCUUAAAAUAAAUUUAUUGAAAUCACAAUUAUCAAUUAUAAUUACUAAUCGAACAUUGCUAUAUUAAGUCAUCUUGUUUAAAUCUAAAAGGAUGUGUAUUUAUCUAAUACACAUGAACGGACAAAUGUAUAUACAUUAUAUGCAUAUAAUCAAUUUACUAACAUAAUCAUUAAUUGCAUAUACGGAUUUCUAUAGUACUUAUUGUUCGCACUUAAUCGGAUCCAUUUAAAUAUAAUUGUUCAAAUACAUAUACCAAAAGCAUAAUAAUUUUAUACUUGAUCAACUAUAAGUGCCGAAUGCACAUAUACACCUAUACCCACCUAUGCCGAAUGCAUACAUAUAUACACAUAUAUAUAUAUCCAACAAUUUCGUGACAACCGAUAUAUAUAUACAUACUCACUAUUCACAAGGACUCGAACGAUUAUAUACUCAUCAACCACCUUAAAACAAUGUUCAUAAACUUAUCCAUUUCAUAUAAACAAAAGCAUAUAUAUUUAUACCCAAUGCAUAGAAUCACUUAAUUUAAACAGAUUCACUAGCACUUCACCUGAUAGGCUUAUAGUUUAAUUCAGUUCACCGGUACUUAGCCUACUAGGCUUGUAGCCUGAUUCAGUUCACCGGCACUUAGCCUGCUAGACGUAUAGUCCGAUUCAAUUCACCGGCAUUUAGCCUGCUAGACGUAUAGUCCGAUUCAAUUUAUCGGCACUUAGCCUGCUAGAUGUAUAGUCUGAAUAAUUUUACUGGUAAUAAAUCCGAUAGUCAUUUCUCCGUUGAAAUUGAAUUAUAUUCAAUUCUGCGUAACAAACAUGCACUUAAAACAUACUUGCAUAAUUCACAACAAUAAUUUCAGUCCAAAGAGCUGUAAUUCAUAUUCGAACUAUAUAUAUAAAUCCAUACAUAAAAAUUCAGCUCAAAAUUUAUAACCUAUAUCUUUGAACCACAUAGGUACAUGAAAUUCAAACAACAAAAUCCAGCUCAAUAACUUCAUGAUUCAACCUAACAAAUUUAUGUAUAUAACUUUUUAUCUAAUUUCAAUACAAUAACUUAUACAUGUACGUAUAUACAUAUUCGAAUCUAACAUAUACAUAUAUAAUUUCAUACUUAAAUAUAUUCAAGACUUAUUCAUGAGUAUACAUAUAUAUUACAACUCACAUGUACAUAUAUAUACACAUUCAUACCUUUAACCAAGUCCAAGGCUUUAUACAUGUAUAUGCUUAUAUAUAUAUAUAUUCGGACCUUAUGUUUACAUAUAUAUUAUAUAUAAAUACCUUUGAUUAAAAACAAGUAUUUAUACAUAUAUAUAUUUUUGAACAUGAUACAUAUAUAUAUUUAUAUCAUUCAUACUUAAACAAAAUUCAAUCCAUAUACUUUCAAUUUCAGCUCACCAAAUUACUAUAGAUAUACAUGCAUAUAUACUGAUUUAAUAACCUCAAAUUGCUAAUAGACUUACCUCGGAUAUCAGCGGACACGAUCGACUAUUCGAUUACUUUCGUUUUUCCCCGAUCCAAAUUCGUUUUCUUCGUUUUUUUAUCUUAAUUAGACCUAGAGAUAGCCGAACCUUGUUGUUCUCUUUUCUUUUCUUUUCUUUUUCUUUUCUAUAUUCGGCCAAGAUGAAGAACAUGGCAUUUAAAAUUUGUUAUAUUAAACAUAUAUUAGCCUUAUUUUUAAUUUACUAUAUUAACCUUUACAUAUAUAUAUAACAUAUAUAAUAAGGUUACAUUAGUCCUUUGCCACCCACUAACUUACAUAGUGGACUAAUUGCAUAGUAAAACCUCUAAAUUAUAAAGACAACAACAAUUAGGUGCUUUUAUAAUUAACCCCUAAAUUUUCAUUUUACGCGAUUAAGCCCUUUUAUUAAAUCGGACACUUAAACGACGAAAUUAAAACACGAAAAUUUCACACAAUCAAAUGCAUACAAAAUAAUAUUAAUAAUAUUUUUCUAAUUCAAAUUUGUGGUCCCGAAACCAGUAUUCUGAUUAGGGUCAAAAACCGGGUUGUUACAACUCUCCCCCCUUAGAGAUUUUCGUCCCCGAAAAUCUUACCGGUGAAUAGGUUUGGAUAACGCUCUUUCAUUGUAUCUUCUGACUCCCAAGUUGCUUCUUCAACCCCAUGUUUAUGCCACAACACUUUAACUAACGGAAUUUUCUUAUUUCGUAAUUCUUUGAUCUCACGAGCAAGAAUGCUAAUCGGUUCUUCCUCAUAUGUCAUAUCAGAGUUAAUUUCAAUCUCCGUCGGACUAAUCACAUGUGAAGGAUCAGAUCGGUAUCUACGGAGCAUCGAAACAUGGAAUACGUUAUGAAUCUUUUCUAACUCAGGCAGUAACAUCAAUCUAUAAGCAACCAAUCCAACUCGCUCUAUAAUCUCAUACGGUCCAAUUAAUCUCGGACACAAUUUGCCUUUACGACCAAAUCUGAGUAUUUUCUUCCACGGUGAGACUUUUAACUUGCUCGGUGUCAACGGUAAAUCGGAUACAAAAUCCAUCGUGACUCGAUCCCAUUUCCAUUGAGGUAUCAUGAUCGGCUGAAGCAAUCCAGAUGGUACCUGAUGCUCGGCUUUAACUUGCUGACAAAUUAAACAUUUCGAAACAAAGUCAGAAAUGUCUCGUUUCAUACCUUGCCACCAAUAGUGCUGUUUUAGAUCGUUAUACAUUUUCGUGCUACCCGGAUGAACAGAAAAUCGAAUACUAUGAGCUUCCUUCAAAAUCAUCUGAAUUAACUCUGAAUUUUUCGGAACACAUAAUCGGUUUCUAAAUCUCAAACAAUCCUCAGCAUCAACUAAAAACUCCGAAUCAAUAUUUAAGUCACAUUGAGCUCGUUUUGCAGUUAAAUCAUUAUCAACCUUUUGAGCUUCACAAAUCUGUUGUACAAAUAACAGUUUUGCUUUCAACUCAGCUACUAUCGCACCAUCAUCAGACAUAACCAUAUGUGCGUUCAUUGCACGCAAAGCAAACAGUGAUUUUCGACUUAGGGCAUCAGCAACAACAUUAGCCUUUCCCGGAUGAUAGUCAAUCACAAGCUCGUAAUCUUUCAGCAAUUCUAACCAUCGACGCUGUCUCAAAUUCAGAUAUUUCUGAGUCAUCAAAUAUUUCAGGCUUUUGGGAUCGGAAUAAACAUGACAUCUUUCGCCAAACAGAUAGUGACGCCAUAUUUUUAACGCAAAUACAAUAGCGGCCAAUUCCAGAUCAUGCGUCGGAUAGUUUUUUUCAUGCGGCUUUAACUGUCUCAAGGCAUAGGCUACAACUUUGCCUUCCUACAUCAAAACACAACCCAAACCAUUUAAAGAUGCAUCACUAUAGAUAACAAACUCUUUACCCGAUUCGGGUUGAACUAGGACUGGAGCUUCGGUCAAAAGAACUUUCAACUGAUCAAAGUUUUUCUGACACUUUUCUGACCACUCGAACUUAACGUCUUUUUGUAGUAGCUUUGUCAUCGGGGUCGCAAUCAUAGAAAACCCUUUCACGAACCGUCUAUAAUAACCAGCGAGCCCCAGAAAGCUUCGAACAUCAGAGACAUUUCUCGGAGGUUUCCAAUCAAGUAUAGCUGAAAUUUUACUUGGAUCAACCUGAAUACCCGAUGCUGACACAACAUGGCCCAGAAAACUAACUUCACGUAACCAGAACUCGAAUUUACUGAACUUUGCAUACAACUGUUUAUCUCGCAAAGUUUGUAACACAAGUCUCAGAUGUUCAGUAUGCUCGGUUUCAUCACGAGAGUAGAUCAAAAUAUCAUCUAUAAAUACUACCACAAACAGAUCCAGAUACUGUCUAAAAAUCUGAUUCAUCAAAUCCAUGAAAACAGCAGGUGCAUUAGUAAGUCCAAAAGGCAUAACCAAGAACUCAUAAUGUCCGUACCUCGUUCGGAAAGCAGUCUUUGGCACAUCAGAGUCUUUAACUCGCAACUGAUAGUAGCCUGAUCUCAGAUCUAUCUUCGAAAACACAGUAGCCCCUUUCAACUGAUCGAACAAAUCAUCAAUCCGUGGUAACGGAUACUUAUUCUUUAUAGUCACCUUAUUGAGUUGCCGGUAAUCAAUGCACAUUCUCAUUGUUCCGUCUUUCUUUUUCACAAAUAGAACUGGUGCACCCCAAGGAGAGAAACUCGGUCGUGCAAAACCUUUAUCAGUCAACUCUUGCAACUGUACUUUCAAUUCUUUUAAUUCAGUCGGUGCCAUACGGUACGGAGCUAUCGAAAUUGGAGUUGUCCCUGGUACUAACUCAAUACCAAACUCUACCUCUCGAAUAGGUGGCAAACCCGGUAAUUCUUCGGGAAACACGUCUGAAUACUUACACACUACUGGCACAGAUUCAAUCUUCUUUUCGAUCACUUUACUAUCAAGAAAAAAUGCAAGGUAAUCUUCACAACCUUUUCUCACAUACUUUUUUGCCGACAUCGAGGAUAUUAUUGCUGGUAAACCAUUCAGAUCAUUAGAUUCAAUCCGAAUAAUCUCAUCAUUCUGACACCGUAGAUCAAUAGUUUUCCGUUUGCAGUUUACUAUAGCAUCAUGCAGAGUUAACCAAUCCAUACCCAGAAUUAUAUCAAACUCGUCAAAUGGUAGCAACAUCAAAUCAGCCAGAAAACAUAAAUCUCGAAUCAUCAACGGACAAUUCUUGCAUAUUUUGUCAACCAAAACACACCGGCCCAGGGGGUUCAAUACUUUAAUUACAAACUCAGUAGACUCAACAGGCAAAGUCUUACUGAAUACUAAAGUCUCACACACAUAAGAAUGAGUCGAACCAAGAUCAAUCAAUGCAAUAACAUUAGUAUCAUAAAGAGGGAAAGUACCAGUAAUAACAUCUGGAGAAGAAGCCUCCUCUUGAGCACGGAUGGCAUAUGCUCUGGCAAGUGCACGAGCCUCAGAUCGAACUGCCAUGUCCUUUGUUCCUCUCUGACUGCCACUUACAUUACUCAAUUGCCUCGGUGGUCUACCUCGUACUGGCACUUUACUCGGUCUGGUAUUCUGCACAGUGUUUUGCUCAGCUACCAUCGGACACUCUCGAAUGAAAUGAUCCUUUGAACCGCACUUAAAGCAAGACCGAUCAUGUAAUCUGCAAUCUCCAGGAUGCCAUUUCCCACAAUACUUGUACUCUGAUCUAUUUUGUCGAACACUACCAACGCUAGCAACUGAAGUAGCUCGUGAACUCACAGGGGGUCGAUCUCGAUCAUACUUAGGAAACCCUGCAGUAGCUUUAGAUCGGCUAUGAUCCUCUCUGGAUUUCAUUGAGGUCGACUGGAAUGAUUUACUGAAUAAUCUUUUACGAGAAUCUCGAGCUUCAUAGCCAGCUUUCCUCUUCUCUUUCCCGAGCUCCUCAACUUUACAAGGUCGUUCAACAAGUACUACGAACUCUUUUAUCUCAAGUAUACCAAAUAACAGUUUAAUAUCUUCAUCCAGCCCAUCUUCAAAUCUUUUACACAUGAUAGCUUCAGUCGAAAUACAUUCUCGAGCAUAUCUACUGAGUCUCACAAAUUUCCGCUCAUAUUCUAUCACUGUCAUACGACCCUGUUUCAAUUUAAGAAAUUACUUACGCUUCUGAUCAAUGAAUCUUUGGCUGAUGUAUUUCUUACAGAACUCAAUCUGAAAGAAUUCCCAGGUCACUCGCUCUUUCGGAACCACCGAUACUAGUGUAUUCCACCAGUGAUAUGCAGUGUCCCGUGGCAAAGAUAUGGCACAUUUCAAGUACUCAUCAGGGGUGCAAGAUAACUCAUCAAACACUCGAAUAGUAUUAUCAAGCCAGAAUUCAUCUCGCUCAGCAUCAUCAUCAUCAGUAGCUCUGAACUCUUCGACCCCGUGUUUUUGAAUUUUGUCAAUAGGAGGCUUAAGUAAUCUCAUCGGAUCACUUACUUGAGGUAUAACAGGAAUCGAAGGUGGAUUAGUCGGGGGUGGAGUUUGUUGUGCAACCGGAUUAGUUCGGACAUAUUGAGUAAACCAGUCAUUCAUCAUUUGGUAGAAGGCUUGUUUAGCCUCUCCCUCCUGGUUACUCGAGGUCGGUCGAGAAUCUACCGGCUCUGUCCCUUGUGUGGGAGCAGGCGCUAUACCCUCAACAUCAUCGACUACGGCUCGAUCGGGAUCCAUUACUAUACGAAAACACAUUUUUAGACAUCAGCAGUCAUCACACUAUCUUGGUAUAAAAAUAUGGCAUGUAUAGCUAGACUCAUACAUGCUACAUUAGUCCAAGAAUCGAUUAAACCGUAGCUCUGAUACCAAUAAAAUGUAACACCCCUAACCCGUAUCCGUCGCCGAAUUAGGGUUACGAGGCAUUACUGAACAAAUACAACCAUUUUUAAAACCAACUGAUCACAAACAUGAAAAUUAAAUCAUUUUCACAUAGCUAUUUAUAAUUUACAAUCAACAUCUAACCAACAUCGUACUCAAACCUAUACAUGCCAUAAGAUCAAGUUCAAAUAUUUAACAAAAUACCAAAAGGGGUCAAAAGUGUGAUAGACUAUGCUGAUGAUCCCCGAGCUCGUAACGCGUCUCCAAAAUCUAUAAAAACAAAUGGACAAAAACAAUCAAAGUAAGCUUUUAUAGCUUAGUAAGUCUAUAGCAUAUCUAAAAUACAUAUAAAAGAAUCAUAUAAUUCUUAAAAUAAAUUUAUUGAAAUCACAAUUAUCAAUUAUAAUUACUAAUCGAACAUUGCUAUAUUAAGUCAUCUUGUUUAAAUCUAAAAGGAUGUGUAUUUAUCUAAUACACAUGAACGGACAAAUGUAUAUACAUUAUAUGCAUAUAAUCAAUUUACUAACAUAAUCAUUAAUUGCAUAUACGGAUUUCUAUAGUACUUAUUGUUCGCACUUCAUCGGAUCCAUUUAAAUAUAAUUGUUCAAAUACAUAUACCAAAAGCAUAAUAAUUUUAUACUUGAUCAACUAUAAGUGCCGAAUGCACAUAUACACCUAUACCCACCUAUGCCGAAUGCAUACAUAUAUACACAUAUAUAUAUAUCCAACAAUUUCAUGACAACCGAUAUAUAUAUACAUACUCACUAUUCACAAGGACUCGAACGAUUAUAUACUCAUCAACCACCUUAAAACAAUGUUCAUAAACUUAUCCAUUUCAUAUAAACAAAAGCAUAUAUAUUUAUACCCAAUGCAUAGAAUCACUUAAUUUAAACAGAUUCACUGGCACUUCACCUGAUAGGCUUAUAGUUUAAUUCAGUUCACCGGCACUUAGCCUACUAGGCUUGUAGCCUGAUUCAGUUCACCGGCACUUAGCCUGCUAGACGUAUAGUCCGAUUCAAUUCACCGGCAUUUAGCCUGCUAGACGUAUAGUCCGAUUCAAUUUACCGGCACUUAGCCUGCUAGAUGUAUAGUCUGAAUAAUUUUACUGGUAAUAAAUCCGAUAGUCAUUUCUCCGUUGAAAUUGAAUUAUAUUCAAUUCUGCGUAACAAACAUGCACUUAAAACAUACUUGCAUAAUUCACAACAAUAAUUUCAGUCCAAAGAGCUGUAAUUCAUAUUCGAACUAUAUAUAUAUAAAUCCAUACAUAAAAAUUCAGCUCAAAAUUUAUAACCUAUAUCUUUGAACCACAUAGGUACAUGAAAUUCAAACAACAAAAUCCAGCUCAAUAACUUCAUGAUUCAACCUAACAAAUUUAUGUAUAUAACUUUUUAUCUAAUUUCAAUACAAUAACUUAUACAUGUACGUAUAUACAUAUUUGAAUCUAACAUAUACAUAUAUAAUUUCAUACUUAAAUAUAUUCAAGACUUAUUCAUGAGUAUACAUAUAUAUUACAACUCACAUGUACAUAUAUAUACACAUUCAUACCUUUAACCAAGUCCAAGGCUUUAUACAUGUAUAUGCUUAUAUAUAUAUAUAUUCGGACCUUAUGUUUACAUAUAUAUUAUAUAUAAAUACCUUUGAUUAAAAACAAGUAUUUAUACAUAUAUAUAUUUUCGAACAUGAUACAUACAUAUAUUUAUAUCAUUCAUACUUAAACAAAAUUCAAUCCAUAUACUUUCAAUUUCAGCUCACCAAAUUACUAUAGAUAUACAUGCAUAUAUACUGAUUUAAUAACCUCAAAUUGCUAAUAGACUUACCUCGGAUAUCAGCGGACACGAUCGACUAUUCGAUUACUUUCGUUUUUCCCCGAUCCAAAUUCGUUUUCUUCGUUUUUUUAUCUUAAUUAGACCUAGAGAUAGCCGAACCUUGUUGUUCUCUUUUCUUUUCUUUUCUUUUUCUUUUCUAUAUUCGGCCAAGAUGAAGAACAUGGCAUUUAAAAUUUGUUAUAUUAAACAUAUAUUAGCCUUAUUUUUAAUUUACUAUAUUAACCUUUACAUAUAUAUAACAUAUAUAAUAAGGUUACAUUAGUCCUUUGCCACCCACUAACUUACAUAGUGGACUAAUUGCAUAGUAAAACCUCUAAAUUAUAAAGACAACAACAAUUAGGUGCUUUUAUAAUUAACCCCUAAAUUUUCAUUUUACGCGAUUAAGCCCUUUUAUUAAAUCGGACACUUAAACAACGAAAUUAAAACACGAAAAUUUCACACAAUCAAAUGCAUACAAAAUAAUAUUAAUAAUAUUUUUCUAAUUCAAAUUUGUGGUCCCGAAACCAGUAUUCUGAUUAGGGUCAAAAACUGGGUUGUUACAACUCUCCCCCCUUAGGGAUUUUCGUCCCCGAAAAUCUUACCGGUGAAUAGGUUUGGAUAACGCUCUUUCAUUGUAUCUUCUGACUCCCAAGUUGCUUCUUCAACCCCAUGUUUAUGCCACAACACUUUAACUAACGGAAUUUUCUUAUUUCGUAAUUCUUUGAUCUCACGAGCCAGAAUGCUAAUCGGUUCUUCCUCAUAUGUCAUAUCAGAGUUAAUUUCAAUCUCCGUCGGACUAAUCACAUGUGAAGGAUCAGAUCGGUAUCCACAGAGCAUUGAAACAUGGAAUACGUUAUGAAUCUUUUCUAACUCAGGCAGUAACAUCAAUCUAUAACCAACCGAUCCAACUCGCUCUAUAAUCUCAUACGGUCCAAUGAAUCUCGGACUCAAUUUGCCUUUACGACCAAAUCUGAGUAUUUUCUUCCACGGUGAGACUUUUAAAAACACUUUAUCCCCGAUCUGAAAUUCUAUAUCCUUUCUUUUCAAAUCCGCAUAAGAUUUCUGACGAUCCGGUGCUGAUUUCAGACUGUCCCGAAUCACUUUCACUUUCUGUUCGGUCUCUUUAAUCAAAUCAACCCCGUGUAUCUUAUUUUCACUGAGCUCAGUCCAAUACAGUGGUGUACGACAUUUACGACCGUACAAAGCCUCAUAAGGUGCCAUUUUGAUACUAGAUUGAAAGCUAUUAUUAUAAGCAAAUUCAAUCAAAGGUAAGUAUCGUUCCCACGUACCUUCAAACUCGAGAAUGCAACAUCUCAACAUAUCCUCAAGUAUCUGAAUGAUUCGUUCAGAUUGACCAUCUGUCUGCGGAUGGAAAGCUGUGCUAAAAUGUAGUUUCGUACCUAAAGCUGUGCUAAAAUGCACACAAAAUAAACACACAAAAUAAUAUUAAUAAUAUUUUUCUAAUUCGGAUUUGUGGUCCCGAAACCACUAUUCCGAUUAGGGUCAAAAACCGGGUUGUUACAAUUCUGCUUCUUCUGCAUCAUCAUCUUUGGUAGCUCGAAAUUCUUCAGCCCCUUACUUCCUAAUCUUAUCAACAGGUGGUCUCUCACUGAUGACUAUACCUGCAGCUAGGGAAACUACAUGAGGAACCUGUGAAUCCUGAAGGGGUGGAGGUCUUACACCCGGAUUCAUACGAACGAACUCGGCAAACCAAUCAUUCAUGGCUUGGAAGAAGGCUUCUCUAGCUCCUCCUCCCUGUCUAACUGAUGCAGGUCUUUCACUAACGUUAACAUCUAGUGGCACCGUCCUUUCUGCGGAAGUAGGCGCAUUACUCUCUACUUCAUCUGCACCAGCUCGUUCAGGAUCCGUAACUAUAAAAUAAAAUAUUUUAAAAUCGUCAAGAGUCGUCACACUAUCAAAAUAUAUAAGUAUGGCAUGUAUAGGUAGACUUUUAUUCAUACUGCAUAUUUCUGAGAACCGAUUAAACCUGCUCUGAUACCAACAAAUGUAACACCCCUUACCCAAGACCAUUUUCGGAGUCGAGCACGAGGCAUUACUUAUCUUAUCUUACUAACUCGAAGCAUAAAAACUUAUUUUAAAAAUUAAUUUCACUAUUUACAGCAAUCUGUCCAAUCGAGCAGCAGUUACUAAAUUAAUAAUAACUCGAGCUACGGAACUUGAAAUUUAACUUCGUAAAUUUUCACUGAAACUAGACUCAUAUAUCUUCCUACCAUAAAGUUUUUAGGAUUUUUUGUUUAGCCAACUAGUACAGUUUAUUAGUCAAAUUCUCCCCUGUUUCACCAAUCGAUUGCCUUGACCUCUUAUCACUAAAAAUAAAAUUUCUCAAUGUGGGAUUUUCGUAUAGUGCUACUGCUUGCUUCUACAAAAAAUAGACUCAAUAAGGAAUCUAUAAAUAUAAACUACAGCUCCUAAAUAUUUUUUUAAAAAUUUUAAUGAUUUUCUAAACUCAAAAUAGGGGUCACCAAAAACUGUUCUAACCCUGUCUCACCAAAAUUCACAUAUCUUAAAAUAUAAAAUUCAUUUUGCUACACCGUUAUUUUUAUCUGAAAAUAGACUCAACAAGAUUUAAAUUCAUAUAUCAUUCACUCUUUAAUUCAUUUUAUACUAUCCUAGGUGAUAUUUCAAAGUCACGUCGUUGUUGCUGCCUGAAUUCUGUUUCUUUGCAAAAUUGUACCAUUUUAUGAUUUCCAUGCAUAGUUUAUCACUUACACUCUUAUAACAACAAACACUUCCAUACUUCACCAUUUUAGCAACCAUUCAUCAUCAACUACUUACAUAUCAUUCUUUAUCAAGAUCAUAAAUACAAACAUUUAAAAUAACUAAAUCCCUAUACAUUCCAUACUCAACAUGGUUCAACAUAAAAAUACCGAGUUGCUGUGGCUGAUAGUGUGGACGAUCUCCGACUUCUUUAGGAUCCUUGAAGUAACCUUGCAAUACUAUAAGAGAAAGAGAAAUAAAAGACGUAAGCAUAAAGCUUAGUAAGUUUACUAGCAAAUAAAUAACAAUAUUUAACUCAGAUAAUUAAACUCAAGUGUCUAUAUCUCUAGUUUACUCUUUAGUUAAUCCCAUUCUAGUUCUCUUGCUUGUUUACUUAGUAUACUUGUGUGCAUAACUUAAUCUUCUCUUGCUGUAUCGUUGAAUAUCAAUUGAUAAUAUAAUAAGUUCUUAACUCUUAUAACUUACCUGAACUUGCCAUUUAUGUUUUUAACUGAACUUUCCUGAACAUGAUUCGUUAUUUAGCCCGUUGAGCUACAUUGGAACAAUAAGGAUACUCGGGUCUCUUCUGAUAAUAACAUGCCAAAGCCAUGUCCCAGACAUGGUCUUACAUGGGAUGUACUCAUGUCGGUGCCCAUUCCAUGUCCCAGACAUGGUCUUACGGGGGACCUCUCAUCUCGGUGCCAAUGUCAUGUCUCAGACAUGGUCUUACAUGGGACCUCUCAUCUCGGUGCCAACACCAUGUCCCAGACAUUGUCUUACAUGGGACCUCUCAUUUCGGUGCCAACGCCAUGUCCCAGACAUGGUCUUACAUGGGACCUCUUUAUCCAAAUGUCAUGACAUUCGUAUCCAGUAUUAUCCUUAUGUAUCAACGGGACUUUUUAAUUUUAAUUCUCUAUCAUUUCAUGCUUGGAUAAUCAUCAAAUAAAUUCAUGAAAUAAAUUCAUAGUUGCUGGAAAAUAGCAGCAUUAAUAAAAAUUAUUGAAAUAUUUCAUUUAUUUACCGUAAACUUACCUUGGUACCGAAUAUAGCCCAAUUCACCAACUUAGUCUUCAACUUUAUUCUUUCCUUUGUCUAACCUCGAGUUUCAUUCUUCUUGAUCUAAAAUAGAAAAUUUAACUUAUUUAAUACUCACAUUCAUCAAAACAGCCCUCGACUCUAACUUUUCAAAAUUAUGAUUUUGCCCCUAAACUUUUACAUAAUUACAUUUUUCCCCAAGGCUCGAAAAUUCAACUUCAUCUCAUAUUCUUAUGUUUUAUGGCAUGCUGAAUAUUUUUCUCUUCUAUGACAAUAUCAAAUUCUCACUCUAACACUUACUUAUGUACAUUAGAGAUUUUUACCGAUUAUGUCAACUUACUCGUUUUUGCUUAAAAUCGGCUAACAAAAGUUGUUUAACAUAAUUUAUAGCUUCAUAUUCUAUCAUAAAACAUCAAAAUAAACACUUUUCACCUAUGGGUAUUUUUCCAAAUAUAAACCCUAGGUUAAAUUAUUGCUAGAAUAAGCUAAAUUAAGUUACCGGGACUCCAAAAACGUAAGGAACAUUAAAAACGGGGCUUGGGAUCACUUACUAUGGAGCUUGGAAGCUUGAAAACCCUAAAUAUGGCUUACCCCCUUGCUGAUUUCGUCCAAAUGAAGAAGAUGAGCAUAAUUUGUCAUCUUUUUCCCUUUUAAUUCAUUUUAAUUACUAGAUUACCAAAUUGCCCCUAACUUAAAAAUUUCCUAUUUCACUUAUCUCAUGUCCAUUUUUGUCUAAAAACUUAACCAAUGGUCUAAUUACCAUAUAAAGACCUCCAAUUUAAAGUUUCAUAACAAUUGGACACCUCUAACAUGUAGAACUCAACUUUUGCACUUUUUGCAAUUUAGUACUUUUGACUAAAUUGAGUGCCCAAACUUCAAAAUUUUCGAAUAAAAUUUUCAUGAAAUCAUUUUGUGAAAUCAUAGACCAUAAAAAUAUAAGAAAAAUAAAAUUUUCCUCAUCGGAUUUGUGAUCCCGAAACCACUGUUCCGAUAAUCUUAAAUUUGGGCCAUUACAUGAUCACCUUUUUACUAGCUCAUACAUCUCCUACAUCAGACCUUACAUGCAUGCUUACCAAACUUUAUUCUUUUUAACAAAACUUUAUACAUAUCAUCGUAGCACAUCUUUCAUCUUUACUAAACUCAUAUUUUUACCAAUUUCUGUAGACAUCAUCAUCAUCAUCCUAUAUAUAUGCUUCUUGUUUGAACAGUUCAUAUCAAAGAGUCAAGAUAGAGACCCACUUGACACUCACCUACUGCAGUUCAAAGCUCUAAACUUAACCAUCCUUCUCAAACCAGCAGUAAAAACUGCUUAUAGAACAUAGAAUCACCAUUAAAAACCCAUUUACAUACAAAUUACUAUCAUCUUAAUCACUUUUCCACUGUUAAUUUAUAAAUAAGUGUUAAGUAGUAAAUAAAUAAAAAAAUUAACUAAGUUUUCAAAAAAAAAGUCACUGUGACGAGAAGAAUGUUAAAAUUAAUUGGUGUUUGUUAACUCAUAUGUUUUUCUAAAAAUGGGUUAAGUUUUCUUCUGAAAUAAACAAAUGUUUUAAAAUGAUUGUUUUAUAAACUCCGAUCGUACUAUCCCAUCUUGGUGGCUGAUGUAAUAUCCCAAAUUCAGGUCUAACAUCUAAGUCGGGUUGGAUAGGUUACAAUAUAUAUAGAAAGAUUGAUAAAUAAUGCAAACUUGAAUACAAGCAAAGAAAGAAAUCAAUCAAUGUGAAUGACUAACAAGUUUAAAAUCAUAUAUUUGCAUUAUAUUUUGUAAAGCACAAGAUUGUCAUGGAAUUAGACAAUUUGUUUUGAUAAUGGUUAUAUUUUAUAUAGAUUUACUUUUAUGCACUUUCAUAUUGAGUUGAUCAAAAGUUUUGAAACUUUAUAGAAAAUUUGAAUGAAAGAGCAUAUUGAUAUAUAUGCUAUCUUGAGUGUUGAAUUAAGCAUUCUUUAGUAAAAGAGUGUACAUUUCGCACAUGGUAGGUGUGUUGGUUUCUUAUAUAUUAAUUAAGCACAAAUUAAAGAAAAAUAAUAUAUAUCACCAUAGUGUUGUAAUAUUUUGUAUAAUUUGUGAAAUUAUACAAGCAAAUAAGUUUACCUAUCUUGUUAAAUAAAACUCAUUAAGUUGGUUCUUAAUCUUGAAGAAUUAAAUAGGUUGGCUUCUUUAUUCAUUUUAUCCAACUACAAGUUAGAUUAAAGUUGUGGAAAUAGAAUGGUUGAAAAUUUGUGUUAAUGAGAAUUAGAGUUAUGGCCACAACUGAUGCCAACUAUUUCCUAAAAACAGGGAAUGAUGUCCAAAAACAUGCUGUAAAAUAAAAAUUUGGACAUGUUAGAAUAUGAAUUUAUUAUAUUAUAGUUUCAAUGUAAUACCCUUAUCCCAUCUCUGUUGCCGGAUUAGGAUUUCAGAGUAUUACUGAGAAAAAUAGAACAUUUAACUUUCCAACAGAAACAAUUGUACAAUUAAAUACCAACAUAUAACAAUUGAAUCUAAUCAUGGCAAAUAUUACACUUUUGGACCUUGAAUCGAGCCUAUGGGGCCCUAGAAACAGUUUAGGAACAAUCUGGGAUCAAAUCAAAACAAAUCAGAACAUUUUGAAAAAACAUAAAAAUUUAGGAAUACAGAGGUCACAGGCCAUAUGGCCAAGUCGUGUGACAUAGCCUAGAUUGUGUAAACAUCCGAAGUCAGGACACAUAGCUGUGUCCCAGCCUGUGUGUCUACUCAUGUGUAUAUUUGAAAUAGGGUCACACAGUCGUGUUGCAGACUGCCAAACGUGUGUGUAUUCAAAGUGAGGUCGCAAGACCAUGUGGCCGACCGUGCCACAAACUGUUUUGAGACACAAGGUCAUGUCUCAGACCGUGUAAAACAUGCACUUAAAAUAAUAAAUACACACGACCGUAUCUAGUGACUAUGUGUGGCACAUGGUCGUGUGGUAGCUUGUGUCUCAGGUCGUGUGCUCCAUUUUUAACCCCUAAAUCAAGCCAAUCAAGCAUCAUUUCUUAUACAACAAGACAUACCAUAUCUAACUAAUUUUACAUGGUUAAAAACACAUUCAAAUCAACAAAUACAUGCCAAAAUUUCGUUCAUCCUAUGUCUAACCAAUAUGCCAUCAAAAGGCACCUCAAUCCAUACAUCCAUUCAACUCAAGAACAAAGUUACAAUAAAUGAACAAGUUUUAUCAUUAGUUAACCAUUCAUGCCUAAAACCACUAAUCUAAUUGACCAAAAUAUGGGCAUACUCAACAAGCAACCAUUUCAAAACAUCAUCAUCAAAUCUUUAUAUACCAUUUAUGAUCAACUUAAUUAUAUUCAACACAAGUACACAUCCAAAAUCAAGCACAUCACUAAGUAUGCCAAAAUAACUUAACUAUUUACAUAUCAACAAUAAGACACCAUAUCCCAAAAUGAAAUAAAAAAGCUACCAAGAUGGUUGGAUAGUGUGUGCUCCAAAACAAUUCAUCCGGUUAGUCCACAAAACGCCAAAUCAACCAAUAUAGAUAAACAAAAAGGUAAGUUCUAAUUCUUGAUAUUCAAAUGCAAGAUCACACCACAUUAGUAUAUAUUUAUUUACAUCAUAAAUGAUACCUUCCAAAAUUCAUAACCAAUUCAUCAUCCACAAUUUCUCAAUACAACCAUUAAUAUUUAUAAACAAGAACUUCAUAGUAACAUUUAUCAUUUAGUAGUAAUAUAAUUAUCCAACAAAAUUGAACAAAUAAAUGCGUUUUAAGUCAUUUGAUACAUAGCCUGCUGAACUAUAGUAACUUGACUCGGAUACUCAUGAUACUACAUCACACCAAAGGUAUCAAUGAUGCAUAACAGAGGCACCGAAGUGCAGACAAAUGCAUGAAUGUGCAAUCAGAGGCACCGAAGUGAAAACAGAUGCACCAAAGUACAAACCCGUACGAGUGCGCAUUAAAACCCUAUUGGCAUGCUAAUCGUAUCCUAAUUGUUUACUACGUUCAACUGGGCAUUAUACUUAAAAUCAUAAUAUCAAUAAAUCCAUCAUUUAGAGGCACUUCUUAUUUCCGUACACAUACUAUAAAUAUGUAACUUUCAUUUCAAUAAUAUGCAAUAACAAUAAUUACCAUCAUCAAACAUUCAUUUUCUAUUUGUACUUAAUUGCAAAAUUUAAUAAUAUAUAAGUAACUCAUGAAAUUUCACAUAUAUACCAUUAACUAGAAAACAAUAAUAUAAUCAUAAAGUGACACACAUAUACAUAUUAUUACACUAUGAACUUACCUAAAAUCUACUUUCGAUUAAUACACAGGGACUACUCCGCUAUUUUUUCCCUUUUCUCGGUUAUUGUCUUUUUGACUCGGUUCUUGAUCUAUAUAGUAAUUAAAUUCAAUUUAUGAAAUUCACAUACAUUUAAAACUCAAUUCAAUGCAUGAUACCCUUAUGUUUUCAUUAUUUUCACAUUUUUCUUAAACUUUUACAUUUCUCACAAUUUAGUCCCUACAAAAUUUAACAAAAUUUUACAAUUUUCCAUGUUAGUUGAACUUCUUUCGAAACUAGUACAAUCCCUAAUUAUUCACAAUUCACAAAAUUUCUAUGCAAAUUUUAAUAAUUCACACAUUGAUCAUUAAACUCAAAAUUAACACAAAUUUUUUUACAAAAAUAUCCUAAUCAACAUUCAAAUAUGUACAACUACCAUUAAAAAUCAUGAACACCAAAAUUCCAUUACUAACCAAUCCCUAAAACUUUAACAUUUUUAUAAUUCCAUCCUCGGGUUUAAUAGUUUAAGUUACAACGAGUUCAAAAACGUAAAAAUUAUUAAAAACAGGUAAGAGAAACACUUACAUGCACCAAUUUGCUAACCGAAACUUCAAGCUCCAAAAAUGGAGUUUUUUUUUUCUUUUUCGGUGGGAGAGAGUUGAGAAGAUGAUGAUACCAUUUUUUUCUUUUGUUUCUUUUCUUUAAUCAAACUAAUUACUAAAUUAUCCUUUUAAUCUAAACUAAAUUAUUAACAUAGCAUGUCCGUAAUUAUCCAUUAACUAACCAUAAGGUUUAUCUAUCAACCAAGUCCAUUACUUUAGUUUUUCUUUAAAAAUCAAGCACAUUUAACAAAUAGAAGCCACUUUAGCAUCUUUUACAAUUUAGACCUUUUUACUAAAUUAACUAAACAGACAUUAAAAUUUCUUAGCCAAAUUUUAUUAUGACUCCAAUAUAACUCUAUAAGCAUAAAAUAAACAUAAAAUACUAACUCAUUUGUCGAAAUUGUGGUCCUGAAACCACCUUUUUUGAUACCACUGAAAAAUGAGAUAUUACAUUAAAUCUCUAAUUUAUGAUAAUGAAUGUGAGAGAAUAAUUUUCUUUGUUUAGAAAUACUAAUCAUUUUCUUUGUUUAGUAAUACUACAACUAGAAUGUGUUUCGACCCUAUUAUUAGAAACUAAUAAUGGAAACCCAACUUUUAAUUAGAAACCUCUAAUUUUAAAGUUUAAUAGGUAACACCCCGAAUUUUGGCCCUAGAAGAAAUAUGUUUUGAACAAGGGAACAGUUAGGAGACUGCACAUAAAUAUUUAGUUGUGCAAGGAAGUGACAUAAAUGAAUGUCUACUUCAGUGGUUGAGUGAUUUAGGAGUGUUUGGAACUGUCUGAGAAGUCAGGGAUUCAAGCAUUGCUUAUGCAAAAUUUUUAUUUUAAGUGAAUAAAAUCAUUGGAUCUAGAUAGUAAGUUCUUAAAUUAUUGUGGUUAAAAUAUGAUGCAAAAGAGUUGUUGGUCUAGUGGUAAGGGGUGUGUGGAGUGCACAUAGGGCCUAAGGUUCGAGUGGUGGCGCAUCAGAAAGGAAAUAUUUAUUUUGCUACUUGAGCUGUUUAGGUAGUGGAGUUGGACUGAAACACAACUAAGGGGAGUUUGCAUAGAAUUUGAAUGGAGUUGUUGGGGGAGUUGAGGAGAAACCGGUAGAAUAAUUUAAGGAGGGAUAAGGGGAGAGAUUUUAGGAGAAAAUCAAGGGAAGUGAGGGGAGUGAAGAAGUGUGCCGAAAGUGGACUUUGAUACUCAGGAAAUUUGGCCAGAAGGGAUACUGCUCAUUUUGGUAUACUUUUCAUUUCGGUUUUGUGUAGUGUUUCUCUCUCUUUUUGCUUUUUGGUGCCGAAUUUUUGCUAAGAUUUCGAGUACCACUCGGGUUUUUCUUUUGCUGCUUUUUUCUUUUAUCAUUUCUUUUGUUUUGGCCGAAUUUCUUUUUAGUUCCCUCCUUUGUCGAAUUCUUUUCUCUCUUCUCUUUGUUGCUUCUUUUCAUUUCUCUAUUUUUCCAAACCUUGACCGAACAGUGUUGAAGUAGUUCUGUGUUCCAUCUUUUGUCUAAAAUGCUCUUCUUCCUCUACUCCUUUUGAUCAACUAUUUGUCGAAUAUUGCCUUCUCUCCCCUUUUAUCUCUUUAAAUUUAUUUUCGGCUUGACAACAAUUCUCUAACAGUUCAAAUUUCUUGAGGAGUGAAAAAGUAUCGCAUAAUAUUAAAGUCAUCGAAACCUUUCUCUCAUCACUCGAUCAAAGGUAAGUAUGUAGGCUAGCAUUCUAAAGUGUAGGCUGAGUGCUUUCUAUGGUUUCAUAAGUUAUUAUGUUUGGAUUUAAACCACAUGAAUAAACAAUCCUAUUUAAUAAAAUCCGUUUGUAAUGCAGAUAUCCAUCAAAGAGAUUGUAGUCAACCUUCGUCAGUGAUAUAAGUAGGCUAAGUCACAUUUGACAAUCGAGGCUUUGGUGCUCGUGGAUCUUAGAGUGUUUUCACAAUCAGGUGUGUAAACACCCCACUGUAACCGUAGAACGACAAAAAGCUAAAAGGCCAAAAAUACGGUGUUUGAGACCACACAGGCGUGCGAUCUCUCAUGUGGUAAGCCCAACCCACAAAUCAUGGCCGAUAGACUGUAGAGGCCUCCAUGAACAUUUCCAUGGGCUUAGGCCGUAAUGGGCCACGUUGGGCCGAAAUGGGUCGUGUGGGUUCAAUAGGCUCGUGGGCACCAUACAGAUGAGAACCACGAUUUGUGAAAAAUACUGGACUGGGCUAUGAAGAUCUCAUAGCCGUGGAAAAAUCUGGGCUGAACAGGCCGCACAAGCGUGCGGGCCUACUUGGGCCGAGUAAUGGGCCUUAGGCCCAUUUGUACCAUUAUGACCAUUUAGGUUACCUGAGUCGCUCGAGGUAACUACGGACCUUUCGAGAGGUCGAUAUCUGCACCAAGACCCAAAAUAGGUAAAAUGAUCGAAAUACCCCUAUAGAGUAAAAUGACCGAAAUACCCCCAAAGGAUAAAAUGAUUGAAAUACCCCUAUAAGGUAAAACGAUCGAAAUACCCCCGUAGGAUAAAAUAACUAUUAUACCCCUAGAAGAUGAAAUGACUGUUAUGGCCUUAUGCUAUGUAUGACUGUUUUGCUCUAUGAUAUGUAUGACUAUGGUUGAGCAUGACAUUUUUCAUACACGUAUGAUAUUAUGUCAUGAUAUAUUGCAUGGGGAUGGAUUGUUAUAUUUGGAGGAAGUGUACUGUACUGACAAGGUUGCACGGGUCGCCCAAGACGACUGUGGACCUACUGAUGGCUAUAUGCCAUUUAUUUUACUGGCAGCUUUGCUGCAAUACUGUUUAAUGCUGCAACUGGUGCUAAUCUUGGUGUGUUUGGAUGGAUGGGUAGAUUUUAUCCCCCAUAUGGUGUGUUUGGCGGAACUGUAACACCCUUAACCUGAAUCCAUUCUGACAUUGUCUCACAAAAUUUAUUAUAUCUCAUAGUUUACAAUUUUAUUACUUACACCAUUUCUUCCAUGAGAAACUAGACUCAAUAAGUUUUAAUUCUAUAUUUUAUUCAUACUCUAAUUCGAUUUUCAUAAUUUAUGGUGAUUUUUCAAAGUGAGCCUACUGUUGUUGUCCAAAACUAUUUUAGUACAAGAUGUUUAUUACCAUGUUUAUAACACCCUUAUUUUCUUUCUCUACACUAUUUCUCAUCCCUUUCUCUUAUUUUCUCUUCACUUACAUAUUAAGAACAUAGGACCAUAUAUACAAAAAAACUUUACACUAACAUCAUUUCCAUACUUUUUCAAUAAUAUCAAACUUAAAAAUAUACUAAAAUCUUGAUGUACUUACCUUGUCAUAUUGAUUUUAAUCUUUAACUUGAUUUUCUCUCUCCUCCAGCUUCUAUUUCUUGAAUCUAACUUGAUAUUAUAGCUCCCCAUAGUCUCCUUGUAAUCUUUCUCUCUUGAUGGAUAUGGAAAUUCUUUUGAUUUCUAGAUGAAAAUAGUGAAUUUUUGGUGAAAGGACUAAAUUGUAAAGAAAGCAAAACUUUCUUUCUUCUCUUCUCCUCUUAACGUGAAUUGCAUGGAAAAGAUGGUGGGUUGGUUCCUUUUCAUCUUUCUUUCCACAUAUAUAUACUAAAUAAUAAAAUAAUAAAAUAUCAUUUAAAAAUCAAAUUAAAAUACUAAUAAACUAAUAUUUAUUUGUUUAUUUAAUCUAAAAUAUCUCCAACAUCAUCAUUAUCUUCUAGAUUUCUCUCUCUUCUAAUUGACCAUUUUGCCCUUCAUGAUAUUUUAAAAUUCCAUCCUUGAGUCAUCACUUAAUUUCGUAAAAUUUCAAUUUAGUCCCUCAAAAUUCCUCACCUUUUUUCAAUUUAGUCCUAAUACAUCCAUUUUCCUUAGUUUCUAGAUCAUUCCACCCUUAAAAUAUUUACACCAUUGGUCCUUCAAUUUUUUCAUAUUUACACUUUAACCCCUCAAUUUUUGAGUAUUUACUCUUGGGCAACAAAAUUUUUACGAUUUAAUCCUUUCUUGAGGUAAUAUGUCAUAAUAUACUUCCCAAUGUUGACAUAACUCCAAAAUUCCCUUUUUUGUCGCUUUAUUUCCUUAUUUUUUUAUAUCAAAGAUAAUAUCUUACUGUAAAAAUUUUUUUGGGGGGUAUUACAUUUCUCUCCCCCUCAAAAUAAAUUUCGUCCUCGAAAUUUCCUUAUUUUCUUUUGAUCAUGAACUUAUUUUUUCUUUAAUUCUAUAGUUCAUUUUUUUUGCAUAUAUUUACUUAGCUUAUCAUUUGUGUCUAUUCUUUAUUCUUUCAUUUCACAAUUUAUUUUUAAUUUAAUAUUUCAAACAUGAAUCAGAGAUAAACUUUUACCUUGUAACUAAAAUUAUUUACCUUUUUACCUGAGGCCCAGUGGACUAAAUAGAACACGUAGGAUAUAUGAAAUUGAUACAGAAGUGCUCUGUUAUACAUCAUUAAACAGAGAGCACUAAAGUGUUAUACGGGAGCAUAAAUGUGCUAAUAAUUGGAGAGCACUAGCGUGCUAUUAAUCAGAGAGUGCGCUAAGGUUCCUUAAUGAUAUACUACUAAUAUCCUAAUAGUUCUAAUCUCAUCUACUUGGGCAAAUUAUAUCAUGCAUGCAUACGACUUUUACACUUUGCGCAUAAUGCUUUUACAUACUUUACAAUUUAAACCUUGUACCAAUGAUUCGUAUAUUUAUACCUUCUCUACCUUUAAUACAUGUAAUAUAUUUCAAAAUUCACUAAUAAUCCAUAUAUAUCAUGUACUUCAUAUAUCAUUUUUACAUAUUAUGCAAUUUAGUCAUCAGCGCAAUAUUUCUUGUAGCAAUAUGUUUUUCUUUUAAUGACACAUAUAACAUUCAUCAUCGACAUGUAUUAUAAAACAUUUAUUCAUACUUUCAUGAGUUCCAAUUCAUCCUAAUCAAUUUUUUUUACUCAUAUACUUGAGUAUCACUUUCAACAUUAUCAGAAUUAGCUCGGUUAGGAAAACAUCUCUGUUUAUAAGUAAAACAAUUCUCAUCAGACUCGAGAGAUAUCACACUAUCACAGGUUACAUAAUGGCAUGCAUUUCUAGACUUCACAUAAGCUACGUUUGGUCCAAGAACCGACUAAAUCGUAGCUCUGAUACCAAUAAAUGUAACACUCUUAACCCGAAUCCAUUCUGACAUUGUCUCACAAAAUUUAUUAUAUCUCAUAGUUUACAAUUCUAUUACUUACACCAUUUCUUCCAUGAGAAACUAGACUCAAUAAGCUUUAAUUCUAUAUUUUAUUCAUACUCUAAUUCGAUUUUCAUAAUUUAUGGUGAUUUUUCAAAGUGAGCCUACUGUUGCUGUCCAAAACUAUUUUAGUACAAGAUGUUUAUUACCAUGUUUAUAACACCCUUAUUUUCUUUCGCUACACUAUUUCUCAUCCCUUUCUCUUAUUUUCUGUUCACUAACGUAUUAAGAACAUAGGACCAUAUAUACAAAAACUUUACAUUAACAUCAUUUCCAUACUUUUUCAAUAAUAUCAAACUUAAAAAUAUACUAAAAUCUUGAUGUACUUACCUUGUCAUAUUGAUUUCAAUCUUUAACUUGAUUUUCUCUCUCCUCCAGCUUCUAUUUCUUGAAUCUAACUUGAUAUUAUAGCUCCCCAUAGUCUCCUUGUAAUCUUUCUCUCUUGAUGGAUAUGGAAAUUCUUUUGAUUUCUAGAUGAAAAUAGUGAAUUUUUGGUGGAAGGACUAAAUUGUAAAGAAAGCAAAACUUUCUUUCUUUUCUCCUCUUAACGUGAAUUGCAUGGAAAAGAUGGUAGGUUGGUUCCUUUUCAUCUUUCUUUCCACAUAUAUAUACUAAAUAAUAAAAUAAUAAAAUAUCAUUUAAAAAUCAAAUUAAAAUACUAAUAAACUAAUAUUUAUUUAUUUAUUUAAUCUAAAAUAUCUCCAACAUCAUCAUUAUCUUCUAGAUUUCUCUCUCUUCUAAUUGACCAUUUUGCCCUUCAUGAUAUUUUAAAAUUCCAUCCUUGAGUCAUCACUUAAUUUCGUAAAAUUGCAAUUUAGUCCCUCAAAAUUCUUCACCUUUUUUCAAUUUAGUCCUAAUACAUCCAUUUUCCUUAGUUUCUAUAUCAUCCCACCCUUAAAGUAUUUACACCAUUGGUCCUUCAACUUUUUCAUAUUUACACUUUAACCCCUCAAUUUUUGAGUAUUUACUCUUGGGCAACAAAAUUUUUACGAUUUAAUCAUUUCUUGAGGUAAUAUGUCAUAAUAUACUUCCCAAUGUUGACAUAACUCCAAAAUUUCCCUUUUUGUCGCUUUAUUUCCUUAUUUUUUUAUAUCAAAGAUAAUAUCUUAGUGUAAAAAAAAAUUUUUUGGGUAUUACAGGAACAGAGUGGUGUGUAGAGGCUGGAUUGGGUAGGAUUUCUAACUGCAUAUCUACACUAAUUAAUGAUUUUGUAUUGUUACUACAUCGAUUAAUGAUAUUACAUACUGUUUACUGCAUGACUGAUAUUUGUUGCUGUUAUGGGCCAAGGCCCCACUGAUACUAUUACUGAAAUUGGGCAAAUGCCCUAUUGAUUAUUGGUAUUGUGAUGGGCUCAAGCCCAAUCGUUUAAUGUUACGGGAAAGGGCUUAGGCCCACACUGAACUGGACUGUUACUAUAACAGGCUCAGGCCCAAACUGUAUUUAUCUAUUGUUUAAUUGACUACUUACUUGUUAGGGGAUUGCACACUGAGUUUUCGUAAACUCAACCCGUUGUUUAACUGUACAGGUAAUCCCUAGUUGUAGUAGGGUCAGUGCUGCGAGGGACUCGAUGAUGGCCACACAACUGCAUCAGCUUUUGUUUUUAGCCUUUGAUUUAUAAGAAACUGAAUUUGGGUAUUUUUAUGUAAAAAGGCCUCUUUAAAGUUAUAAACUUUAAAUUGGGGUUUUUAUUUAUUUAGUUUGAUAUAAACUACUAGUUGUAGAAAAAGACGGGUUUUCAAAAGGUAAAUGUUUUCAAAGUUUCAAAAGGUAAAUGUUUUCAAAGACACCACGUUUUCGCAACAUUUCUAAAAAAAAACUUCCGCAAUGAAUGAGAUUUUGGAAAAUUUAUAACGUUUUAAAAGUGAUUAGCUUUUAAUGAUGCAUGCUUGGAAAUGAACAACCCGUUUUGGAAUCAUAGUUUAACAGCAAAAUGAUUAAUUGAUUUUAAAGAUUUCAACGACAACAAGUUUUACGCUAAACACCUUAAAGUGACACCGCCAGAUUCAACCAUAACUCCUAGGCCGGGUUUGGGGUGUUACAAUGUGUUUCAACCCUAUUAUUAGAAACUGAUACCCUAUUAUUAGAAACUGAUAAUGGAAACACAACUUUUAAUUAGAAACCUCUAAUUUUAAAAUUCAAUAGGUAAAAGCAAGUUAUCGUUAAGUGCCUGUGAUACGCUAGUAAAACUCAUUCUAGAAAAAAAAGUUUAAUGGAAACAAUUGUUAUCCAUUGCGUAUAGAGGAUGAAUUUGAAUACUAUUAAUUAAGUUCAUUGUUUAUUGUUUAAAUGUCUAAAGUAAGGGAGACAUUAAAAGAACUCUACCUUUAUAAACAUAAGAAGUGGUGCCACUUCAACAAGUAAAGGUAGGGUCUCUCUUGUAAAUGUUUAUUAUGAACAAGAUAAGCACAUGAUCAUUUUAGUGCUAAAAGUGAACAACCUCUGAUAGAAAUAUAAACGAAUAUUAUGUAUAGUGUAUUUCAACUUCUAAUACUAGGAGUUGUGGUUCAAUCUUCGGACACCGACAACUUAUUAAAACUUUGAAAAGCAUCCGCUUAUUGAUGGUUCAUAUUGAGAGGUAUCAUCUUUAAUGCAUAAUAUUUGUUUGAGUGAAUGACCAUAAAGUAUGGUACCAACAUUUAAACUAAGGGUGAUUGUUAGUAGUUUAUAAUUUUGGCAGUAAAAAUAUUUUAUUAUGUAGAAAAGUCUAAUAAAUUAUAAUUAUUGGUCAAAUAGUUGUGUUGUAAAGACAAUUUUUGUAUGUAAAGUUGUCUUAUAAACUUUAUGUAAAGUUGUGUUGUAAAACAACAAAAUUAUAUGAAAAUGUAUCUUAUUAAAAGAUACAUCCAUAUGAAAGGGUAUCUCAUGAAAAGAUACACCUAUUAGAUGUCUAUAUAAAAGAUUUUUCUGUUAGUUAUUUAAAUUGUUUUGCUUGGAGUGUUGAGGGCUUUGUUGUAUCUUGAAGGUAUUUUAAAAUCUUAAAGAAAGUGCUCUACACACCUUAAAGUCAUUAUAUUUUAUAACAUUAUUUUAUUUUUCUAACUUUUAUUUUCCUAUUAUUUAUUUUUCUAACAGCUAGAAUAUAGGAAAAUUAUUAUGUUUCUAGCUAUAUAUUGAAUACAAGUAUGUUGGUGUUUAGAACUCGAACUUUGAUGGUUGAUCGAGAGAUUUGAAGCAGAAAGAAGAGACGGGAAGUUUUAAGUAGAAAAAUAAUUGAAGACUGGAAUAUAUAAUUGAUUUGCACCUCAACUAUUUAAAUACAAAAGUUCAAGCUAAAAAUAGAAAAAAAAAGUUCUAAAAAUCUGCUAAAAAUCUGGUAACAAAAUAGCAAACAAAUCAAAAAUCUAAUCUCCUAAAGUCAAGGAGAAUUAUUCAAACUUAGUAACAGAAAAAAUUUAAAUGGCAGCAAUCUUAAACACAUGAUCUUAACACUCCUCCUUGUUUAGAUGCUACAAACUCCAAGUUUCUUCCUGAAGCUUUCAAACUUGCUAAGUGGCAAUGGUUUGGUGAAGAUAUCUGCAAUUUGAUCUUCAGAUUUGUAGUAACAAAGAGACACAUCACCACUCUUUUAAACUUCUCGAACAAAAAAUAACUUGAUGUUAAAAUGCUUAGUCUUCCCAUGAAAGACUGGAUUGUUAGAGAUUGCAAUGGCAGCCUGGUUAUCAACUAGAAUCUUUGUGCUUUGCUUCUACUCCAUGUUUAGAUCAACAAGAAUCUUCCUUAACCAGAGAGCUUGGUUAACUGUUGCUGUUGCAGCCAUAAAUUCUGCCUCAACAGUGGAUUGAGCUACAGUUUCUUGCUUCUUCGAGCUCCAAGAGAACAUGCCUGAUCCAAGGCAAAAACAAUAACCAGAGGUACUCUUCAUAUCAUCAGUUAAGCCACCCCAAUCACUGUUAGAGAAACCAAUCAACUUCAAUUCCCUAUGCUUUAAAAACUUUACUCCAUAAUUCCAGGUCCCCUUGAUGUAUCUGAUAACUCUUUUUGCAGCUCUCAUGUGAGUCUCAUUGGGACAAUGCAUGAAUCUGGAGAGAAUACUUACAGCAUUCAAGAUGUCGAGUCUGGUUGUUGUUAAGUACAUUAGACAACCUACCAAACUCCUGAACUCAGCUUCAAUGACUUUGGCAGAACCAUCAUCUUUGAUUAGCUUCUCUUUUUGAUUCAUAGGAGUACUCAUUGCUUUGCAAUCUUCCAUAUGGAAUUUUCUAAGUAUCUCCUUUGCAUACUUUCUUUGACAGAUGAACACUUCAUCUUGGCUUUAUUUGAUCUCAAUGCCAAGGAAAUAAGACAUCAGAUCAAGGUCUGUCAUUUCGAAGACAUUAUGCAUUUCCAAUUUAAACUGAUUAACUUGAUCGAUAUUGCUCCUUGUAAUCAAUAAGUACAAAUAAGCAAGCUUUUUCCUUUGAUUUCCUUAUCUUCUUUUCUUUUUGUGCUUUAAUCUGUGCCACAGUAGGAUUUGCUGGAAGAGGUGGGACCUCGUAAUCCUCUUCUACAGGUUCCCAAAGAUCCAAAGCCUCUAUGUAAGUCUCCAUGCGAACUGCCUACAUCUGGUAAUUGUCUCCAUCGAAGACUGGUGGUGCAGCAACUGAAAAACUGGACCCUCCUUCCAUAUUAACACGCAAAUAACCUAACAAAUCCCUCAAGAAAAUAGCUCUGAUACCAAUUUGUUGGUGUUUAGAACUCGAACUUUGAUGGUUGAUCGAGAGAUUUGAAGCAGAAAGAAGAGACGGGAAGUUUUAAGUAGAAAAAUAAUUGAAGACUGGAAUAUAUAAUUGAUUUGCACCUCAACUAUUUAAAUACAAAAGUUCAAGCUAAAAAUAGAAAAAAAAUGUUUUAAAAAUCUGCUAAAAAUCUGGUAACAAAAUAGCAAACAAAUAAAAAAUCUAAUCUCCUAAAAUCAAGAAGAAUUAUUCAAACUUAGUAACAGAAAAAAUUUAAAUGGCAGCAAUCUUAAACCCAUGAUCUUAACAAAGUACUACUUGGAAGCCAACACCCACAAACAUGAUAAAAGUUAAUUUUGAUGAGAGUUUUGACAUGGAAGCAAGAAAUGAGGAAGAGGGUAGUUAUGCAGCAUUGUGAUGAUUUUUUAGUCUGACUAUGCAACCAUCCAAUUUAGGGUGCAUUCUCCAUUGUGGUGAAAAAGCACUUAAAGAACAUUUGGUUUUUGCACUUAAAAUGUGAUGGAAAAAUGUUUUUCCACCCAAAUACAAAAACUAGGAUAUAAAUGUUUUUGACUUUUAGCUUUUAUGUUUGGAAGUGAAAAUUAUCAAAAUAUCAUUAUUUAUAUUAACUAUUUAAAUGGUAUAUAAAAAUUAGAUUAAUUUAUAUUUUAUAUAUCAUUAUAUUAAAUUAUUUAAAUAUUAUUUAUUAUUAUAUAUUUUAAUAAUUUAUAUAUCAUCUAUUUUACAAAUAAUUUAUAUUAAUUACUUAAAAAAUAUUUGGAACUUAUAUUUCAUGUAUCAUUAUAUUAAAUUAUUUAAAUAUCACAUAAUUUAACUAAUUUUUUACUUUCCACUAUCAUGUCUAAAGAAAAGGAUAUUUUAACUUUUAACAAGAAUUUUUUGUAGCAAUGGAGAACACCAAAAAUUAAUAAACACACUUUUUCAUAGUAAUUUUCAACCACACUUUUCAACCGCAACCCUAAUGAAGAAUUAAUCCUUACUAAAGUUACCGAAGCACUAGCUUCCACCGUAGCCAUUGAAAUGGCGCUCCAAUUGGGAUUGCAACACAUUAUUAUUAAAGGAGAUGCUCUCCAAGUGGUUUCGGAGUUGAAGGAAGACAAAGGAGACCUACCAACAACCGGACCUUGAUAGCAAAGAGUUGAAUACUUGCUAAACAGGUUCAGCAAUGUAGGUUUCAACACAGGAAGAGGCAUGCUAAUGAGGUGGCACAUCAUCUGACCAAACAGGGCCUUAAUUGUUUUCCAUCUUUUGUUCAUAUGUUUGUUUUGAAAAGGUAAAACAAAUCCUCACCUAUUGAUGUUAGAACGGUUGAAUUGCUAAAAGCAUGCUGCAUGCAUAACCAUGCUUUAGGUUAGGCUUCAAAUUAAAUAAAUUUUAAAUUAUUUUUAUUUAAAUUUAAUUAUAAAAAUAAAUUAAUAUCAAUAGAAAAUUAUAUAAAAUUUUAAGAUAUUUUAUUUUUCAAUAAUAAAACGAAUCAUUCACCAAACCUAAUUCUUCAAUUUCUUUUUAAUUAGAUCACAACUCAAGCCAAGCUAACCAAUAAACACCCAAAAUCUACCAUCAUUUUCAUUUUCAUUUUUUUUUCUUUUGUGACAAAGUAGACAGAAGAUUCGGUUUGGAUAAGCUCUACGUUAUUAAGUCAAAAGCUGAAGUAAUUUUAAUCAUAAAUUGUUUUAUUUGUCUAUAAUGCAAAACAAUGACCCAGUUAGUACAAUAAAGCUUUAACUUUGUGGAACAUUUCAGUCCAAAAAAAAAAAAAAAAAGAAUUGUGGAAAUUUUAGAGCAGUUGACCAUUUCUUCGGAAUUAGUUUUCUCACUUCUUGUCCAUAUUCCAUGUAUAUUAUUUCAAGAAAUUAGGUUUAGAAAUUUGCAUAAUUCAACCAUUGAACUAAUAAAUAUUAAACAAAAAUUGGGUGGCAAAAAAAAUCUUAUUAAAAUCAUAUACUAUUACUAAAAUUUAUGAUUAAAUUAGUGUCACGAGUUAACGGGACAUUAACAAAUUAUAUUAUUUGAGGGUAUUUUAAUCUUUUUAUUAAAAAAGAUGAUGUCUCAAAUUAACUCACAAUCUAAUCUAAUUUUUCAUUUUAAUAUUGUAAAUAUUUCAUGUUUUAUUAUUAAUUUGUUUCAAAUUAUACAUUUCAUUAUUUAUUUUAUGUUAUUUUUAAACACAUCUGUAUUCUAAGUACCUAAUUUUCACUUAUGGGUAUCAGAGGCGAAUCUAGGGAGGCUGAUAGGGGUCUCGGUCCCCUUAAAAUAGAAAAUUAUUAUUUAAGCCAUUUAGAAAAUUUUAAAAUUUUAAAUUAGUAAAUGUAAAAUUACACUUUGACCCCUCUAAAAUUAUAAAAAUUUGAUUUAAUCCUUUAAAAAUUAUAAAGAUAUAAACUAUUAAAAAUAAAAAUUUCAUUUCGGCCCUGCCUAAAAAAUUUUUUUGACUUCACCCCUAAAGUAUGAUAGAGUUUCUAGUAUGAAUAAUUUUCUUUGGAAGUGUUAAACAAACAAAGGAGUUAAGUAAACAGUAGUUUUCAUACAGAAAUAUUCGGCGUUGAUGUUUCCCUUUCGAAUAAUUAAAUUAAGACUUAGGAAAAGGGAAAACAAUGAAAAAGAAACUAAAAUUGAGCUUAAUUUAUGGAGUUGGGUUAAAAUUUUAAUAUUUAAAUAUAAAAAUUCUAAUAAUUUGAUCUGGUCCGUUUCAUCUAGCAGACUAAUAAUAAAUCUUAAAACAUAUUAUAUUUUAAUUUAAAUAAAACCAAAACUAAUACACUUGACCUACAUCUACAUGUGAUCUAUGCUUCAUUUAAAUUAGUCUAAAUUAGACGAGAUCUUGAUUAGGAGUCAUUUAUUUAUAUUAUAAGUCCCUGAAACAUGCAAAACUUACAUUUAAAAAUUAAUAUUUUUACGUUGUUGUUAGAAUAUAGGGUUUGUUAAUGUUUUCGUGUGAAGUCAGCUGUUGACAUUACCAAUCAGAUAAUGAAAAGGAAACAUGGCAAUUAUUCCAUCCUAAUUGUCACCAAAUUAAGUUAAUCCAAAAAUUACCAAACGUUUAGUACUUCAAUGGUAGAGUCAGCUCUUUCUUCUAGUCUAUCAAAAAAAGUCAAUUUAACCCCUAACUCUUGGAUGGAAAAGUUUUUGCUAUGAACUUGUUGAAGUGAAUCUCAUGUGAUAUAAACGCAUCGCAAUCUCCGUGUGUAACUAAAAAUAUUUGAGAGAUUGAAUAAUUUAAAGGGGAAAAAAAAAGAAUUUACUCCCUCCACUAACAAAUUACUCUUGCCAACGUAUGUAUGAAAGUAAACACCUUUAAUUAAUCAACAAAUGCUAAAGUUCGAGGUUUAGAAUUAAUUAAAUACCAAUAUAAAUAGUUAAUUACUUUUUUGAAAUAAGGAUAAAUCAGUUUGUGAGGUUUGAAUUUUUUGUAUCUUAACAAUUGUUCUGACUUUAGAGUUUGAAGGUUUUUUUUUUAUCCAAAUUAACCUAUGAACUUAGUAAUUUGUCUCUCAUUAAGGUUUAAAUUUUUUAUUUAUCUAAGUUAAUUCUUAAAAAUCUUGAAAUUCGAGAAUAAUUGUCAAGUUAAAAAAAUUUAGAUUUCAAUAUGAGAAUAAUCUACUAGUUCGUAACCUUAAUAUAAAAACAAUUGUUAAGUUGAAAACUUAAUUUAAAAACAAAUUCAAACCCUUCUUAAGUUUACGAUUUAACCCUUUGAAAUAUUGCGUUAACUAGUAAGAGUAAGAAUUAUUUUGUGUUGAUGAUUAAAUAAAUAUUUAAGUGGAGAUCAAGUUUUACCUCAUUUGUCAAUUGUCAGGUGAAGAAUAUAUACCCCUAAAGGCCUAUCAAAAACGGACCUAUCUCUAUCUAUAUAUCUUAACUAAUUUACUAUUCAUUUUUAAUGAAAAUCAAUAAAUCAAUGAAAACGUUAUAAAAAGAAAACUACGUGAAUAAAUUAUAUGUGUAAAAUUGAAAUAUUUCUUAUUUUAGUACAAUGGUAAGGAACAUUACAUUUUUAAGGAAAUGAUGUCAGGUUCAAACCUUAAAGAUAAUAUUCUUCUUCUUGAGAAGAACAAUCCCAAACUCCAAAAUGAACCCUUAUGAAUUAUAUAAAAAAAUUUUGAAAUAUUUCUAUAAAAUAUCAUUAAAGUUUUUUAUUUAAAAAAUGUUAUGGGUAUACUUUUACCUCUUGUAAAAAAGUCUUUCAUUUCUCAAUUCUUAUGGCAUAGUAAAUUUAUCAUUAAUUUUCAUCUUUAGGUAAAAAAAAUGGUUAUUAUUUGUGUAUUAAAUAAUUGUUAGGAUAAAUUUUAAAAUUGUAUAUGAAUUUUGGUUUAAUGUUAAUUAUAUACAUUAAUUUUAAUUUUAUGUAAUUUUAUAAAUGAAAUUUUAAUUUGAUCCAAUUCUAACAAAUUAUUAACACAGUUAUUGAUAUAACAUCAUUUUAUGUUUAUAUGCUAUAUACAGAAAUAAUUAUGUUUAUUCAAUAUAAAAAUAAAUUGAUGUAUUUAUUUCUUUAAACAUAUAUGAUUGAAUCAAAAUUAAAACAUCGUGUAUAUAUUUGAACCACAAUUAAAAUUUUACAUAUAAAAUUACAUAAAAUUACAAUUUAUAUACGUAAUAAACUAAAAUUCAUAUAUAAUUUUAAGAUUUAUGUCCACAAUUCUCUAAAGCUAAACGGUGAUGAUUACCAUGGAAAUUCAAUGUACUUAACUAAUUGGUUGAUAGGAACAGGCAUGAUGAAAUCCAUGAUGGGAAGAGAGAGAAUUCAAAAACUGGAAUGCCCCCAUUAAUCCAUGCAAAUAAACUUUUUCGGUAUUACAUCAUAAUUCAUUUAAUUUUAUCAUCAUCUCUAUGCCAUAACCAUGUUUAAAGUAAAAUACUUAUAUAAAUUGAGACAUUAAUAGUUUGUAUUAUAUAAAUUAUGACAUCCAUAUAUCCAUAUUAUAAUUUUUAUGAAAAAUUAGAGCUGGCAGAUAAAAAAUGGCUUACUGAUCAAUGAAAAAUAAACUUUAUUUCUUGUAAAUUGACUUAUCCUUUUAAAAAGUAUAAAUAUUUUUUUAAAAUUCAUUUAUGAGUAAUUUUAUUAUUAUAAAAAUUAAUUUUGCAAAGUCUAAUAUUAUUAUAUUAAUAAUUUUAUUUUAAAACUAUUUAAAAAUACUAAUAUCAAAUAUUAUAAUGUUGAAUCCUAGUAACAUACAUAUUAAAUUAUUUAAAUUAUGUAAUAUUGCAAUUUUAUUUUAAUACUAAAUUUUAACAACAAUAAUUUUAAAUUUUAGAUCAUAUUUUUAAUAUAUUAUUGAAAAAUAUUUAUAUUAAUAUUUUAAUAAUAAAUAUAUAUAUUAAAAUUUAUAAAUAUUUAAUAAUAAAUGUUUUAUAGUAUAAAAUAUGAAUAUUUUAAUUAUAUAGAUAUGAGCAUUUGUUUAAAUCAUGUUUAGUUUCAUUUAUCUCCCAACUAUAAUGUGUUAUUAUACACCGUCAUAUAUAUAAUAUAUGUAAUUUAAGCAUUGUUUAUUAUUAAAUUUAUAUAUGAUAUUAAUUAUUAUAAAAUAUUAUCUUAUUAUAAAAGAAAUUCUAAUUAUCAAAAAGAAAUGUUACUUUAAUAUUUUGUAACAAGUAUAUUUAUGUUGGGCUUGUUUCAAUAAUAACUUUAAAAUGAUUUUAGAAAAAAAAUUGUCAAAUAAUAAAAAAAUAUUUUAAGCAAAAUAAUUCAAACACAAAAAACUAUCAACUUUUCCAUAAAAUCAAUCCAAUUUUAAGAAAACAUUUUGUGAAAAUUGUUUUAGGUAAAACAAAAGGAACCUAUAUUUUAUAUAGUAUUUGAAAAGUUGUUGUAUCUAGAAUUAUUAUCUUAAAUAUUUUUUUAGGUCUAAUUUUAAAUUUCAUCCCUUUAUGAAAAUUGAGAAGUUAAAUUUUCUAUUUUACUUUAUCAGUCUGUGCUUGAUUGUUUAUUAAUUUGUCGUGUAUAAAUGGUUAAAUUAUUGAUUUUUGUUAAUUACUAGCAUGUAAAUUGUCAAACUACUUGUUCUCAAGGGAACGGUAAAGUUUAAUAGUAUUAUCAAUUUAGAACAAUUUUUGAGUUUUUUCUUUUAUUUUUCAUGUUCGAGUCCAUAAUUACUCCUUCUAAUAAUGUCGUCUUUAAAGUUUGAGUUCGAAUUCAAAUUCUCUUUUUGGAAGUACAAUAUGCCUUAUAAUUAUACCUAAUACUUUUGAUUUUUGUAAAAUAUAAGAAUCAAAAUUGUGUAGUAGGAUUAAUUUCUAGAUUUUUUAAAUUUAAAAUUUAUAAUAUUAUCAAUCGCAUCACACACAAAACCAAAGAACAAGAGAAUCUAAAAAACACGUGGACCAUUAAUUUAGGAAUGGACAUUAUAUUUUAUUAGUGGAAUAAACUCAUGCAAAAUGGUUGGAAAACACAUACAGGAUUAUAUAUACUAAUCAUUUUUAUUAUUAAGCAGAAUCGGAAAUAAAUAAAUACGAGCGAAACCACUGAAUAAUACAGCAUUGAAAUGCAAUUUGUCUACAUCAUUAUUGUUCUUCACUUCAAACGCGGAGACUAGUCUAGGCUCCCAAUCUUUUGCUUUAUCUCUCUAGAUAUAUCCUUUUCAAACUAUCUUUUUGUAGCUUUAUUUGCAUCACAGCAUUAUCUUUUCCUGCAAACAACUGUUCAAUGAUUAAAACAUGCAAAACAUUCUGAAAUAAUGCACCCUUACCAGAUGACAAAAAAAAAAAAAGAUUCUAAUGUAUCUUACCUUGGAUUGGAGCACGGUCAAAGCCGUGGCUUAGUAGUGGUGAGGAGGAGGGGGUGAAGCGUAGACAUAAUGGGGUGGUGGUGGUGGAGGAGACUUGUAUUUGUAAACUGGAGGAGGAGGUGGUGGAGACUUGUACUUGUAAGGGUGCUUGGGGGGUGAUGGUGGGGGUGGUGGGGGUGACUUGUACUUGUAGGGGUGCUUGGGUGGUGACGGUGGGGGUGGGGACUUGUACUUGUAAGGAUGCUUGGGGGGUGAUGGUGGUGGUGGUGGAGGUGACUUGUACUUGUAGGGGUGCUUGGGUGGUGACGGUGGGGGUGGGGACUUGUACUUGUAAGGGUGCUUGGGUGGUGACGGUGGUGGUGGUGGGGGGGACUUGUACUUGUAGGGAUGCUUUGGUGGGGAUGGUGGUGGUGGUGGUGGGGACUUGUACUUGUAGGGAUGCUUAGGUGGUGAUGGUGGUGGUGGUGGAGACUUGUAUUUGUAAGGAUGCUUUGGUGGUGAUGGUGGUGGAGGUGGUGGGGACUUGUACUUGUAAGGGUGCUUGGGUGGUGAUGGAGGUGGAGGUGGUGGAGACUUAUACUUGUAAACUGGAGGUGGUGGGGGUGGAGACUUGUACUUGUAAGGGUGCUUGGGUGGUGACGGAGGUGGAGGUGGUGGAGACUUAUACUUGUAAACUGGAGGUGGUGGGGGUGGAGACUUGUACUUGUAAGGGUGCUUGGGUGGUGAUGGUGGGGGUGGGGGUGGCGACUUGUACUUGUAGGGGUGUUUAGGUGGUGAUGGUGGUGGUGGUGGUGGUGGUGGGGACUUGUACUUGUAAGGAUGCUUGGGUGGUGAUGGUGGUGGAGGAGACUUGUACUUGUAAGGAUGCUUGGGUGGUGAUGGUGGUGGAGGUGGUGGAGACUUAUACUUGUAAACAGGAGUUGGUGGGGGAGGAGAUUUGUACUUGUAAGGUUUCUUGUGUGGUGGUGGUGGUGGAGGAGAGUAGAUCGGAGGAGGCGGUGGGGGAGACUUGUAAUGGUAGGGUGGUAGUGGGUUCUUCUUAGGAGGUGGUGGAGGAGAAGAAUAGGUGUAAUCUGCUGAGGUUUCAAAAGGCAAACUGAGAGAAACUGCUAGAACUAAAAGAGUGACAAAGAGAGAGGUCAUUGAUGACCCCAUUUUCCCCAUCUUUACUUCUAAAAAUGGGUUUAAUUUGGUUUAUGUUCGUAGACACCCUCUUCUCUCCCUUUAUAUAGACUCUGUUUUAACCUUAUAAUCUUCAUUUAAAUAUUGGGAAAAAGAAAAGGGCACAUUUUCA